rnacentral:lncRNA from 1 species
UGCUCACAAUUAAUCCGAUUACACACGAGCUUCUCUCCCUGGCCAAGACACAACCAUAGUAUGAUGAAGAACAUGGCACUAGCCGGCAAUGGUAUGAAGAAGUUAAUCCUCGCUGUUCUCUUACUGUGUCUAGUUAUAGGGCAGAUACAAGUGGAAGCUAAGAGCUGCUGCCCAUCCACCACUGCAAGAAAUGUCUACAAUACCUGCCGUUUCACGGGUACAUCCCGUCCAACGUGUGCAAAACUGUCAGGCUGCAAAAUUAUCAGCGGGAACAAAUGCAAGCCCCCUAACGACCACCUCACCCUUGACCCGGACACUGGUAAAUAAUAAAUUUAUCUCACUUGAUUUCUUCGUGAUUUGAGUCGUUAAUGUAUUUUCCAUCUGAUGAAACGUAUUGGUUUUGCAUUGAAGAGGAAGUUAAUGUGCUUAACUUCUGCAAGUUGGGGUGUGCGUCGUCUGUGUGCAACAACAUCAACGCUGGUAAGCAACUUUUGCUCAGACAGAGAAAACAAUAAUCAUUAAUUAGCGGCAGCUAGAAUCCUAUAAUCUAAUAUAUAUAUAUAUAUAUAAUUUUAUCAGCUCUGGGAAAUGAAGAGGCGAACGAUGCCGUUGAGAGUUGCGACCAAGCCUGCUCUAGCUUCUGCAGCGUGCAUGUUGGCAGCGCCACCGUGGUUGCUUAAGCAAAUGCAUCCAACUAGAUCGUCCUUGUGCUGAAUAAUUGGAUAUCGUAUCCACUUAAAGCUGCCUUGUGUAGUACGUCUUUGUGUCUCUCUUUAUAUUCCAAUAAGGUCGGUGAUCUUGAUGCCACACACUCAGAUGUGUGUUCAUCUCCAGAUACUACUCCAUGCUACCUGCCCUUUGUGUUUUGUUCAAUAACUGGGUAUCAUAUCCCAGCCAGUAUGCCGUCUGUUUUGUGUUUGUUUCCUUCUAGUUCCAAAGGGGUCAUCAUGAUGUUACCUUCUUUCAAUAUGGUGCUUUGCAUGACUACUGUUGUAUGGUACCAUCUUGUGGCCAAUAAGUACAUCUUAUCCUAUGACCUUUGCUAUGACCCUUUGCAAAUAAGUAGAAGAUUGUUAUAAGCGUCAAUACUCCGUAUAAAUUGAUCGCUGCUGUGAGUUCCCUUUCAGCUUAUCGUAGGCAUACAUUAUUGCUAGCACGGUAAAGCCAACCAACACGAAUGAUGAAGUAAACGUAGCGGUACUUCUGUAUACCAACACCCUUACUUAAAUGUACCGGUGUCAUUCCCUACUGGCACAUAUAUUCUUAUAUGCUAGCCAGCUUGUAAAAUUAACCAAUUAAAAUAAUUAUUUCAAGAUAGAAAUAACUUAUCGGUUUCUGGAAGCAUGUGUAAUGUGAAUUCAAGGACUCGACGGAAGUUGAAUCACUUCAUCUAUAUUGCUUUCAGUAUUUUGGGUAACUAAAUUUAACAUUUGCACAUACAAAUGUUAAAGUACAAAUGUUAAAUCUAGUUACCCAAGCAGAAUAUGAAGAUAGUUUAUAGUAUAUAUAUACUAUAUAAAUCUAGUUAACAUUUAGUCUAAAUGUUAAAUCUAGUUACCUAAAAUCCUGAAAGCAAAAUGUAUAAAUAUAUAUCUUUUAAGGCAGUAUAAGCUUCGAUUCCUAUUGCUGCUCUGUUAAAUCUCAUCUUUCGUUGUGGCCCAACACUCUAGUAUGCAUGUUGCACCAAGCUUCUUUGAGCCGCUCUGCCCUCUGAUUUUGCUGCGUAGGGGAAUCUUUAUCAGGUUGGGCUACUUCCAGUUGUGCGAUGUAAAGAUUCGUAUUUUCUAGAAGGUAGACAAAAAACUCGCGUUCUCUUAAGGCAACAACCGGAAGAUUCUGCAGCGCACAGGGCAUACCAUUAUUGUAGAAACGACCUUUAGUACCGAUCUCCAACCCCCUUUAAAACUGGUUUUGCAACCGGUACCGUUAUGUCGGUCCUUUAGUACCAGAUCAAAUAAGUACCGGUUGGUAACCAGUAUCAACUUGUUUUGCGGCCAAAAAAAUAAAGAAAAAAACAGUCAGAAGGCUCGCACACACGCGCAUCACAUGAAAUAUGCGUGUGCGGGGUCCAUGGGAUUCGAACCCAUGAAAUCAAGCUGCACGCGACCCUUCGUUACCAUCUCACCUACAUAGCGCAUAUGCUUUCCUGAAGUAACCCGUGGAGGAGGCUUUAGUACCGGGUCAUAACACCACCCGGUACUAAAAAUGACUCUUCAGUACCGGGUCAUAACACCACCUGAUACUAGUAUCGGAUGGUGUAAUGACCCGAUACUAAAAGGCCUCUAGGGACCCUCAAAUUUGAACCCGGUACUAAUGCUAAUAUUAGUAGCGGGUCAAAGUGCAGCCAGAACUAAAGCAUGGGAUGAAAGGUCAUAUUUCUAGUAGUGUAUAGUUGUUGUGAAGGACUGACUUGGCUGUCCUCUCUCUUCUCCAUCCCCUUGGUCUUACGCCGCCGCUCGCACGCGAGCCGGUGCCCAACCAGAGGAGUGAGAGCUAGGGGCAGGUUGGGAGGUGGGGAUAGUGACUGGUGGCCAGGGUGAUGGUUGAUCCUGGUGGGGUUAGGGUUUCAGGGUUUUCGAGCUUCCUAUGGUCGGCGAACCUAGAGGAGAAGCUCAACAUCAGCUGCAACCCGCGAUGGUGGUGGUUUGGCCGGCGCCCGAGGCGAGGCAGCGCGGGAGUGCUGCCGGUGGGUUGGUGUUGGCACUCAUUAUUGACAACUAUUUUGUUCAUAAAAUAACACUCAAACUUGCUGCUGCUGCUGCUGCCAUCGCCACCCUAGCCAUAAUAUAAAGGCAAAAUUUGCUAAAGGACAUGCAAAAUGAUGCUAGUUUGCUGGCGGGCAUCGUUGACCUUGUAAUAUGCUACAAGACACUCUAGUUGUGUAUCAAUUUGCUGAAAGACAUUGCUAUGACUAAAAUAAUGUUUCUGGACUGAGUUGGAGAGAGAGAUGGAGUGAAAUGUCUGUUUUGCCCAUGACCCCACUGGUCAGAUCCUUCUUCUUCCACCCUCCUUUGUUCUUUCUUCAACCAUUACCCAGCUCCAGCGUGUUGCAGAUCUACGAGGGUGGCGGCCUGGGGCGAGGGGCAUCGCUCGCCCUUGGAGGAGCGCUGCGAGCGACGGCGCGGGGGCGGCAACAGCGCGUCAGAACCUGACUGUUCGUUAGCUCCUCUCGCUGCUGGGGAAGAAGGAGGGGGAUGGGCCAUGGACGGGGUUCCCUUGAAAACCUCAGCGUCGAGCUCGGGCGGCUACGCGCAGGCAGCACUAGGCUGCUUCACGGGGAGGGGGCGCGGCCAAUCAUUGGCACCCCACUGGUCCAAUGCUGAUGAAGAUGGUGCCAGCGUCGUGUGAGGACAUCUCAUCUCCUCGAGUUCCAUGGCCAGCACAGGUGAGCUGCCGCUACCACAAAACAGAGGUUUCGUGAGAGUCAAAAAACCUUAUGAAAAUAGCUAAAACCAUCAUGAAAAUAAUCCGUGACAUGACACUCUCACGAAAAUCCUCUCACAAAUAUGGUGCCAUGAAAAUACCAUUUUCAUGAGAGUGAACUGUCAUGAUUUUAUAAGCGUCAAUACUCGGUAUAAAUUGACUACUGCUGUGAGUUCCCUUUCAGCUUAUCGUAGGCAUACAUUAUUGCUAGCACGGUAAAGAGAACCAACACGAAUGAUGAAGUAAACGUAGCGGAACUUUUGUAUACCAACACCCUUACGUACCGGUGUCAUUCCCCACUGCCACAUAUAUUCUUAUAUGCUAACCAGCUUUGAAAAUUAAGCGAUUAAAAUAAUUAUUUCAAGAUAGAAAUAACUUAUCGGCUUCUCGAAGCUUGUGUAAUGUGAAUUCAAGGACUCGAUGGAAGUUGAAUCGCUUCAUCUAGAUUGCUUUCAGGAUUUUGGGUAACUAAAUUUAACAUUUGCACACACAAAUGUUAAUGUACAAAUGUUAAAUCUAGUUACCCAAGCAGAAUAUGAAGAUACUCUAUAGUAUAUAUGUACUAUAUAAAUCUAGUAAACAUUUAGUCUAAAUGUUAAAUCUAGUUACCUAAAAUCCUAAAAGCAAAAUGUAUAAAUAUAUAUCUUUUAAGGCAGUAUAAGCUUCAAUUCUCUGUUAAAUCUCAUCUUUCGUUGUGGCCCAACACUCUAGUAUGCAUGUUGCACCAAGCUUCUUUGAGCCGCUCUGCCCUCUGAUUUUGCUGCGUAGGGGAAUCUUUAUCAGGUUGGGCUACUUCCAGUUGUGCGAUGUAAAGCUUCGUAUCUUUUAGAAGGUAGACAAAAUACCCGCGUUCUGGAAGAUUCUGCAACGUGCACGUUGGCGCUGCCACCGUGGUUGCUUAAGCAAAUGCAUCCAACUGAAUCGUCCUUAAGCUGAAUAAUUGGAUAUGGUAUCCACUGCUUAAAGCUGCCAUGUUUAGUACGUCUUUGUUUUUCUCUCUUUAUAUUCCAAUAAGGUCGGUGAUCUUGAUGCCACACACUCAGAUGUGUGUUUAUCUCCAGAUACUACUCCAUGCUACCUACCCUUUGUGUUUUGUUCAAUAACUGGGUAUCAUAUCCUAGCCAGUGUGCCAUCUGUUUUGUGUUUGUUUCCUUCUAGUUCCAAAGGGGUCAUCAUGAUGUUACCUUCUUUUGAGGUGUCUAUGAUGACUUCGUUAAUAUCAAUAUUAACCAAUUCAAUCUGUCUUAACUAUUUGUAAGGGGUAUGAUGUAUGCAUGAUUAUAACAAUGAUUGCGCAUACAAUCGCCGCCAAAGAAACGGUCAAUACCAUUAAGACAUAUUACAGACAAUUCUCAUAAUCUAUAAUGAAUAUACAUAUUCACUACUGCAGAAGACUGUCAUUUGUAUCGGCUCAUACGUGCCAGGGCAAAGGUCACCCUUGCAUUAAGUACAUUUGCACGGUAAAGACAACCAACACGAAUAAUGAAGUAAACAUGCCGGUGCUUUUGUACACCAACACGCUUACUUAAAUGUACUGGUGUCAUUCCUCACCGGUAGCCGGCUUGAAAAUUAACCAAUUAGAACAAUUAUUUAUUGUAUCGGUGUGAUUUUUGACCUAUUGGAAUAUGAAUUUGACCGUUACUGCAUUCGUCAAGACUCAAGAGAGAAAUAACUGAUCGGCUUCUUAGAGCGUGUGCAAUGUGAAAUCAAGGACUGGAUGGAAGUUGAAGCGCUAGCACUAGUAGAGAAACGACUUUCCAUCCACCCCCUUUUGUCCCGGUUUAAAGUUGGCUCGGGAUAAAAGGUUCACCAACCGGGACUAAAACUCAGUCACUGGUGGGAGGCUCACCAACCGGAACCUUUUAUCCCGGUUGCAAAGGCUAAUGGGAAAAAAAGACUCUGAGAGGCCUUUUAUCCCGGUUUGAAACACCAACCGGGAUAAAAGACCCCCCUUUUAUCCCGGUUGGUAACACCAACCGAGAUAAAAGGGUCAAGAGCCUUUUAUCCCGGUUGGAAACACCAACCGGGAUAAAAGACCCCCUUUUAUCCCGGUUGGUGUUUCAAACCGGGAUAAAAGGGCCCCCACGAGGUGACUGGAAGGUGACUGGAAGGGGAUUAAAUCGUGGGGGACCCUUUUAUCCCGGUUGGAAACACCAACCGGGAUAAAAGGGGGUCUUUUAUCCCGGUUGGUGUUUCCAACCGGGAUAAAAGGGUCCCCCACGAGUUAAUACAAAAGGAUAGUAUCCCCUACAUAGUCAGAUGUGGUGUGUAGGUGGGAUGGUAAGGAAGCUACGCGCGAGCUCCGGAAUUUUUUUUUUUUUUUUUUGCAGCGUCGGCGCUCUCUACCCUUUUAUCCCGGUUGGUAUUACCAACCGGGAUAAAAGGGGGUCUUUUGUCCCGGUUGAGUGACCCGGGAUAAAAGACCCCCCCUUUUUUCCCCGGUUAGUUUAUCCCGGAUGCAUUUUCGGGAUAAAAGCACCCUACCAACCGGGAUUAAAGCUCACUUCUCUACCAGUGUAGCUUCAUCUUCCGCUGCAAGUUAAUUGCUUGGAUAAGAAGUUGUAGCCGCUGCAAGUUAUAAAUAGUCCCGCUGAUGCUGUGCUCCGAAGUCUAUACUAUAUAUGCGGAAACUAGAUUGCUUUCAGGAUUUUGGGUAACUAAAUUUAACAUUUGUACAUAAAAAUGUUAGUUUACGAAUGUUAAAUCUAGUUACCCAAGCAGAACAAGAAGAUAGUAUAUAGUAUAUACUAUAUAAAUCAAGUUAACAAUUAGUCUAAAUGUUAUAUCUACUUACCCAAAAUAUUGAAAGCAAAGAAAGAAUAAGUAUAUAUCUUUUGUUGGAAAAUUGGUCCACGGAGAGGCCCAUUUAGGCCUCGUUCGUUUCACCGGGAUGGGAUUCCAGUCAGGAUUACUUCCAAGUUCGGUUUGAGUGAUUCCACCCGUGUCACUCAAUCCGGCUAGGAUUCAUUCUAUGGGUGAGGAGGUAUGGUUUCAAUCCAGGCCAUCUAAUGUAGAAGGAUUCCAAUCCAGGCCGGUUUUCGUUCCAGGCCAGACUAAAACGAACAACACUUUCAAUGCAAGUCUGGUUUCAAACCGGGCCAUUUCAAACCACCCGGAAUGGACCUCGUUCCAGGCCAAUCCGGUGAAAACAAAUGAGGCCUUAAUGGAAUCCCAAAGCAAGAGUUCAGUGGCAUUCUAUAGUCCCAUGCUGCUAGUUUGAGUUGGUCGAAGCCAACUUAAAUAGGAGAGCUCUCUCACUUCUCUAAAUACGUAACUGAAGGAGAGAAGGGGGCUUGGGUUACACAACGCACGCACGCACGCAUAUUUGCGUUCUUUUCGCGUAACCAACCGCGUGACUUGAAACUUGCGACGUAGCGUGCUGCUAAGUCAAGUUGAUAUAACCUUUUUGCCGUUUGCAUGUAAUCUUUUGACAACGGUCAUUGGAGGUGAUAAGCACGCAGUCAAUACCUUAAUCUUGAGUUAAUAGGGUGGUUACUACUGCCAAUUAGUGGGGCAAUUUUGUAGGGGAAACGGUUAGCAGAGGGCUACCGUCUUCUCUAUAAGAAGUUCUGGAGACGUCCAGGAACACACAUGUACAUGUGAGAGACCCACAAAUUCCUUCCCUUCUCCCUUUUCCAUGUGGUGAAGUGUGCUGUGGUACUGAGCUGCUUGAUCUCGCCGCUCUUCUCCUUGGCAUGCACCGAGGAGGAGGGUGAGCGGUAUCUCCGAGCUAUUGCCGUCAGGAAGCCUGCACGAGGGACAACAAAAAGUUUUUGGGUAGCGCAACUGCCAGCACAACUCUCCCUCCGCCUCUUCUUCACGGUUGAUGGCCACCACAAGCAUAAACCUCGCCUUCGCAUCCACGCAAAAGGGUCGCUGGGGUGCCUUCUUGCAUCGCUUCUCAGCCUCCUUGACUUGCGGCCAGCCAAGAACUGCGCCACCACCUCGGGUGCACGCCACCACUCCAGGGCUGCUACCCCAUGCCUGCGGCCGCCGCCGGCCACCACGCGUGUGCAACCGCGUCGCACCGCUUCCUUGCUUUGUGCCACCACUGCUGCUGUACCACCAGCUCCACCACCUUGGGCUGGUCGCCAGAGUGACUGAUAACUUAUUAUCUGUAACUACUAUUAACUCAGGGAUACAUGCGUCUUUUGCUUCUCCUACUAAUAUGUCCUAAAAUAUCUAGGAUGCCUUAUAUUUCUGGACAGAGGAAGUAUUUGAAUAAAAUGAACCAAUUUAAAAAAAUGUGUUGUACACUACUACAGAAAGACCUAUCAGUGUCAAACCCAAAAAUGUUGUCACCGCCAGUUUUGGGCAUCAUUGGUGAAAGGUUGGCGGUGAUGGGCUUUCCCUUCAACAACGGCACUGGAGCCGACGGUGAUUGACAUUAGAAAACAAAAAAGGGGACCCUACCUAGCCACCCCUGCAACCCGGCCGGCCGUGCCUCCCCUCAUCCCCACCACCUCGCCUCCCCAUGACCCCCCGCCGGCGCCCUUGCGCCUAGCCCCCUCAACUGCCCAGCCGGCCACCCUCAUCACGAGAGAGAGGUGCAUGUUGUAUAAUUGCGUGAAUUUUUUAAUGUUUAAUUUCAUGUAAGUUCCGUGUAAUAAAUUGUACAAGUUUUAUUGUAUAUAUGAAUUCCAUAUAUAUAUAUAUAUAUUUAUAAUUUAAUGUAUGGUUUCAUGUGUAUAUUUCAAUCAUGUGUAUAUUUAGUAGAUUGCCGAUUUUCUUUUUCUACUAGACAAGGGUUGAUGUAUAAUUACGUGUAUAUGUUUAUUGUACGGGCAAUUAGGACAAGUUUUGUAUAAAUUUCUUUUAUUUGAUGGUUGUUGUAUGGUUUCAUGUAUAUACAUUUAUUGUACUACUUUAGACAAUUUUUAAUUUAAUGUUUCUAUGAUUAGAUGUGUGUAUAACUAAUUGUAUUAUUAGUUAAGAUGGGAGCUAAAGAGGAUGAAAGGUAUAUAAUGGAGCAGAUUAUUGCUAGCUCAAACGUUGCAAGAACCUACACCGAGGGUGAGGGUAGCUAGGUGGACAUGUACCUCAACAUGUCCAGUGAUGGCAAUGACGAUGAGGAGCACGAGCAUGACAUCUAUGAUAAUGCGGAACAAGACAUUGCAGAAUUGGAAGGUUCUAAUGAGGUGUGCUUCAUGUUGACAAUCUAGUUGGCUUUUUUUCGUUGGUCACACCUUAGUUACCAUAGAACUUCGUCUCGGGAGAAGAUUGGUGGUGGUAUGGUGAUUGGAAUUUUAUUUCCACGAAAUCUGAUUUCCAUCGAAUCAUAUCCCUUGUAUUUAUCUUCUUUUUAUUUGUGAGAGCAUCUUCUUUAUGCUUGCAAAACAAUUCAAGUGCACAUACUACCCCUAGGGUGACGAUUGGGAGUAGAAAUAAUUGCCAACAAAACAACACCACAUCCUAAGAUUCUUAACUUGUGGCAUAAUUAGUCUAGUAAAAAGAAAGAUAAAAACCUAAUGGGUGUAUGUGAGUGCAAUGUGUAUAUGCAUAUGAGUGGAAGGCAUAUAAGCAAAGACAAUAUUUACACAUAGUUCUAAACACCAUGUUUACAGCUAGGUUGCUGAAUUUCUCCAUAGCCAUAGAGAUUAAUUAACCAAGGUCAAAACACGAUGUCUAUCCCAAGAUCAGUAAUUAUUUAUAGCACAAGAAAAAGAAAGCGCAUUGCAAAGUUUAUAAACCAACCAAUACAGCAUGAAAACAAGAUGAAUAGCUAGCAAGGUUUAUUAAACUGAAUGAUGACGGUCUGUAAGCAAGUUUAAACACCAUCUUUACACAAGAUUGCAAAUGGAAAAUGCCCAUAUGAAGCACUAACAUGGAUAUGAAAUCAUUCAUCAUAAAGCGUAAAGAACAACCAAGCCAACCAUAUGCAAAGCAUGAAUGGAAUGCAAUGAAGGUGCAAGAGAACAUUUUUGGAUGAACACAUUAUGAUGAUGGCAAAAUGCAAUGCAUGCAGAAAAAAUAAAUAUGAACAUGAAUAUGAUGAUCAGGGGCGGACCCACUAUUGUGGCCUGGGUAUUCCUCGGCAUACCCAAUAUUUUUGGGAAAAUGUUUAGUAGUUUUUAAUGGCAUAUACAUGUAUAAUAUAGUUUAGGUGUUAAAAUUGAUAUUCACAGCUAUUUUGGGCUCCAAUUCGCGUCCAAACCAACCUGGCCCACAGACCGCACCCGGCCGCCCGGCCCAUCGGCCCAUCUUGUCACUGAUCCUCCCACCACCACACUCAGCCCGUCAGUUAGUCAGGUCCCGAGCUCCUGCCUGACCUAGUCCGCUACCACCGCCAGGCGCCAGGCACAGCUGUACACGCCGCCCCCGUCCACCCACGUCCGCCGCACGGCCGCGUCGCGCCCCCCCCCGGCGCCCGCUGCUGCCAGAACCCAUUAGGCCUCCACCGGCAAGUCCACCCACAGUCCCGCGCGACGCGGCAGCCUCUUGGCUCUCGGCGCUCGCGGCGCGCCAAUGCCUGCGCAGCCCCAGCAGGCGACUGCCCCCCCCCCCCCCGCAUCGGGCCUCGGCCCCUCCCCAGCUCCCCCUCCCCCCUCCACCAGGACUGCCUGCUGGCCCCCACCGCGAGGUAAUCGAAAUGGACUGCUCAAUCUCUCAAUCUGUUGACAUGAUGCACACGGUUGCAAAAAUAGAUGUGUCAAAAUAGAUGUAUUGCCAAUUGCUAUAGAUGCAUAUGGUUGACAUGAAGAAGUCAAAAAUGACAUUUGGUUCCUUGUAGGCAGUCAAAAAUGAAGAAGUCAAACAAUAUUGAUCUGAAAUCAAUGCGGGAAAGGGCUACGAAGACACACGGGUAGAUUCCCUUGUGAACUUUUUAUGUCGUUCGUCUAAAUAUAUUUUUGCAAUGGGCAUACCCUACUCUGAAAUCCUGGGUCCGCCACUGAUGAUGAUGGUCUAAACAUAAAACAAGCCUAGAUUAAUUAGCUACAACUGAAAUUAAGCAAAGGUUAAUGUCAUUGACCCUAGCUCUAUCCUAGCUUUUACUAAAGUCCCGGCACAUAUAGUGGUUGGGCCCACUCUCUCUACUUCCCUCUCUGCUGCAUGCACACACACGAGCAACUGGAGGCCCAACAAAGCCCAGAAGGGUUCGGCCGAACCCGUCCGAUCCAGUCUGAGCGCCGCUCCCUCCCAGCCUUCGCGCAGAUGCUCCUCCAACGUUCCUUGACCCCUCCCUCAGUGUCCCAUUGGGUUUAACAUUGUAGGAGAGGAGUCCCUUUUUUAAAAUCUCAACCACCUCCUCUCCUCAUUCACUCCACUCUCAUCUCCAUCAAACUCACCAAGAUCCACAUCGGAAAUACCUGCUUACCACCAUGGCUGGCAAAGCCCUCGUCCCUUUCACCAACUUGGGCUUGACCAUUGAUCUCGAUGGGAAAAUCACUCCAGCAAAUGUCAUUGUCCCUGUCGGCGAUCUGGCGAUGGAGGAGGUCCAGGCACUAGAGGUCGAGCCCCUAGCCAUCAUACCGCCCAAGGGGUAAAGCAGGAGCAUGACAGGCGCUGCUAGGGGUUCAGCCGAACUCCCAGUUCAGCCAAACGAGGACGGCGUCGCCUCGGCCUCCCGCUCGACUGCAUGCUUCCCCUUGCCAAGGAGGACUCCAGAACAGCGGGCGCGUGCGUCAAGUCCCUACAAAAGGCUGAAAUACAAUGAAUAUCCAGGGUCACCCUUGAAGAUGGGUGAACGCUACGCCGGGUCCUUGUUUGACUAGUACGGCGAUGCAUUCUGCCACCGCUAUGUCGUUGUCGAGAUUAGCGGAUCAAGACUUAGACUAGUAAAUUUCUUUUAUGCGCGUAAGGCUUCAGAUGGUGGCGUGGGAGACAUGGGUUUUAUACUAGUUCGGGCAAUGGAAUACCCUACGUCCAGUGUCUGGAGCUGCUUGUGUUGCCCACGCGGGGUUCUGUAGUAGGGGUUACAGGUGUGCGAGAGAGGGAGCUAAUCCCAGGUCUCUUAGGCGUGUUCCGGUCCUCUAGAUGGGAGAAGUGUGUUCUGUUUGCUUGGGAGUAUCGGUUGUGUCUGAGUUGUCUCCGGAGCCUCCUCCCGUCUCAGGUCCCCGAUUCUCCUUUCAUAGCACAAGGAGACCAUCGGGGUUACAGACGAGACCGAGCGUGGGGAGGAGUAAAGAGAUAAACAUAGCUAGGUAAAAAUACAACAAGAAAGGGGGGAACCAAGUUUCUAGGUCACCGGCGUCCUCGCCGGCCUUCGACUUCCGCCGGCGCAUUUGUCGGAGGAGGGUGGCCGCCAUCGCGUUCUGUCGAUGGCUUCCUCGGUGACUGUAGCCACCGGGCGUGAUGAUGGCAUUUCGUCGUGACCCUUUGUCUGUUGGGGGAGGCGGCGGAUCCUGCCAUUCUGCUGACGGCUCGCGGAGUGCGAACGUCGCAUCCCUGCCGCUGGGCACGCGGGGCGCGAGAACGUGCGAGGCUUCCCCCUACCCCAGGCGGCGCAGGCCAUGAGUGCCCUGUGGCAAAUCGGAGGAGGCCGCAGCUACUGUAGCUUGUACUGUGCAGCCACGUAUGGGUACUUGUGGCAGGUUGCGUGGUGGAUGCGGAUAUCCUUCUCCCUGACAGAUCUGCGGCGCAUUUAUGGCGAGAUCGACAUGGGGACCCACAAGACCCGCGCCCAAGGCGGAUACUUGUCUGGAGGGCCCGGGUUAGCCUGACCCCCUACGCUUGGGGUCGGGCGAGGCGGAGACUUGCGGCGGGGCGUCGGACGCUCCCGACACUAGACCUGCGGUCGCGCAAGGCGGAGCUUGGUCUUCCGGGGGUCGGGGGUGCCGGACCCCAGGAUGCGGGGUCGGGCGAGGUGGAGCGUAAUUCUUGCCUCCCAUGUUGGGCCGAUGGCAGUCUUUGUUACCUCUAGUGGGCUUGGGCCUUUAUGUUUUGUUGUUUCCAUGGGCUUCGAGAGGUCGUUAAUAUUUCCCCCCAACAGUAGCCCCCGAGCCUGUGGUGGAGUGGGGGCGCUCCUCCGGAGGCUACUAUCAUCGCCCCUAGGGAAUCCUCGCAGUUGAUCCGGGAUAGGAGGUGUUGUUUGCACGGCUUGACCGAGGGGGUCGAUUAGGCGACGCAUCCUGUGAGCGACUCGGUGCGGGAGGGUUUCUUGUUGUUCCCUUCUGUCUGAGAGCCUUAAGUCGAGACCACCUGCGUGGCCUUUGGUUGCAAGGCCAGCCCCCGAGCCCCCGCACGUUGCAGGGGACCGGUCGGAGGCUAGGUCGACUUUUGUUCAUUACCCUCAAGCGUCUGUUCGCUAGGACGGAGGGGGCGAGCCGUGCCAUGCUAUCCUCAUCGGACGAACCAUGGUGCUCAUUGAGUUACUAACGGGUUGAUUCGAGUGGGAUCCCGGUCCCCGUUCGGGGGGGGUCCGGCUUGGGCCAAGCUGGUGGCGUACCCCAGGCUCCGGUCGGCCAGUUCAUAUAGUUCCUGAGUCCGUUCGGUCGGACCGGGGGCUCAUUGCCUUUCUUCGGGGAAAAACCAUGAACUUUGAUGCCGGUCCAGACUCGAAUGUGAGAUUGAGACGCCCGGGGCUGUCGCGUGCCCGGGUGAUGGCCGCUAGCGGACCCGUCUCCUCUCACCCCUCACUCGGGGGUAUCCUGAGGCGGCUGUCGAACCCGUGGCGGGCCAGCCUUCGAACCUCUGGAUCGUAAUGGGCCGUAGGGGCGUUUUCAGCCCCGUAUCCCUUUUUACCUUUUGGUGGGCCUUGGGCCGAAUCAUGGAGGAGGUCGGGCCUUGGGCCGGAUGCGGAGGAUGUCGUGCCUUGGGCCGGAUGUGGGGGACGUCGUGCGUGUCUUCCGGGAGACGAAGUGGUGGAGGGUGCCAACCCGCGAAUCGAGGGAGGAGGGGAUGUUUCUACUGCAGGUCAUGCGCACGGUUUCCGAAAAGGCAGCGGGCGUGACGGGACGUACCUCGCGCCGCAUUUAUUGCGAUGGGGGCGUCUGUUCUGCUUCCCUCGUGCCUUCCCUAUAAAACGAGGACUUCGCCUCGCCGGUUCCGCCCGCCAUCUACCUUCAAGCCUUUUCGCCUCCUCGCGCGCCCUUAGCUUUCCUGUGCCCGCUUCGUCUUCCUCCGCCCAGUGCCGCGCCCUUUCUCCCCAUCCGCCGUCGAGUUCUUCUCCCUCCGGCGAUGGGAUCCUGGGCGCGUUCCCACUUCGGCCCCUCACGCGCCGAAGGCCUAGUGAGGAAAGGCCUCCUUUGCGAGAGGACGGAGACGGAUGAGUGGGGGUUCCCUGAGAUGGAAGAGGUGCCGACUCCGCCCACCGGCUACGUCGUUUCCUUUGCCCACUUCCACGAGAGGGGGUUUGCGACUCCGCCGAGCCUCUUCUUCCGCGGGCUUUUGUAUUACUACGGGCUUGAGCUGCAGCACCUCAACCCCAACGGGAUUCAGCACGUCGCGGCGUUCGUUGCGGUGUGCGAGGGGUUCCUGGGCAUUGAGCCCAACUUCUCGCUGUGGAAGUACUUCUUCACGGUCAGCCUAUACCAGAAGGCCGAGAAGAGGGGAAGCCAGCAGCGGUCGACCCCGGUGCCGAUAGGGUGCGUCGGAAUCCACCUCUGCCAUACUCGCGCCAAGGAGUAUAUCGCGAUGAAGACCGCGGCAUCCCACAAGGGGUGGCACCAGCAAUGGUUCUACGUGAAGAACUACUCCAACCCCCCCUGCCGGAGUUCACCGGCCGCAUUAUUGAAGCGGCGCCGGAGGUGUGGGUGUACGGCCCGGUGGAGAAGGAGAAGAAGCGGAUCACCGGCCUGCUGCAGGCCAUCGAGCACCUGAAGGAGAGGGGACUGACCGGAGCCGGAGUCAUCGGGGCGUACCACGCCCGGCGGGUGGCGCCGCUGAUGCUCCGGGUCCGCUCGCUCGCCGACAUGACCCCCGGUGCUCUCACCGAUGGCACUGUCCUCGCGACGGGUGCUCUCGCUGCCUCCGAGAUCCGGCAGCGGAUCCGGGAGGCGCUGGAGGACAAGGACGCCGAUUACCCGGUGCCCGGCCACCCUCCGAUGCGCCCGGACGAGAAUUUCAUUGAUCUGGUAAGGAUUUUGCGCGCCAGUUUCCCUCUCUUGCGUUUCUUGGUAUGCCGUUCUGACGCGAGGCCCUCUGUGUUUGCAGGGUAGCAUGACCCGGGUCGUCGACUUGCGUCCGCCAGUGUCGGAGGACGCCGAGUGGCGGUAGCAGAACCGUCUCCUUGCCGAGAAGCAAAAGUGACGCAAGGACAAGAGACAGCGAAGAAGAAGAAGAGGGCCGCCAAGGAGUUCCAGCGGCGGCGGUGGGGAUAGGUCGUGUCGGAUGACGAUGACGAUGAGAAGGAGGAGGAGGAUGACGAGGAGGAGGAGGAGUUUAUCCUGUCCCCCCGGUCAGGGGCGCUUGUUAUCCGGGAGCCGCGCUCCCAAGCGGCCAUGGGGGACAAGGCGGGCGAGCUGCCUGCCCGGACCCGAUCCUGCGAAGCUUUGGGGGCGCGCCCCAGGGGUCGGCGCAGAGCGCCCCCCGGGGGUCGACGGAGCCGACCCCCAUCCCUACACCUGCAGCCCAGGAGCAGAGGAGCAGCGACAAGCGGCCGUUGCCAGAUGCCCCGGGGUCGGCGUCCAGCUCAGAGGCGAAGCGCGCGCGCCGCCCUUGCGCUGGGGGAACGUGAGUUGAAUUUCCUUGCGAAUCUCGUUCCUUUCCAUGCAUUGUGUUUGUUUCCGCUGAUGCUGUUUGUUGUCUCACAGCACCGCCCCUCAAGGCCUUGUCCCGCCGUUGGCGCCAAAGAAGGCGUUGCGGUGUUGUCGCCUCUGCGGGGCGGACCGCGGCUCCGCCGGCGGCGAGUGGCGGGGUCACUGGUGAGACCGCGGGUCCUACCGCGGAGGUGGCCCCUGCGGCGGCAACCGGUGGAGUGGUGCCACCGCCGGGCAUGGGACAGGGUCUGGACCCCGCUCCGUCCUCCGCCUCUUCGGCCGACCCCGCGGUGCAGAGUAUCGCUCCUGGGGGCCCUCAGGCCGGGGAGGUGAUUGACCUCGACGCCGACGAGGUGGAGGAGACGGCGGCGGUGGAGACGGGGGCGGUUGCCCCAGCGGCCAUGACGGGGACGACGACGGCGACGGGGGAAGGAGAGUCUACCCCCGCGGCCACGGCGGGGACAGUGGCGACAGAGGAGGCGGGGACGCCCGCCCCGGCGGCUGCGACGGAGGAGGCGGCGGUGACGGAGACGGGGGCUUCCGCCCGGGAAGCCACAGCCGAGGUGGCAGCGGCGACGGAGGUGAAAGUGCCUGUUCUGGAGGCCACGGUGGGGGUGGGGACGCCUGCCUCGUGGCCACGACGGAGGGCGAGGCGGCCCCAGGGACACUUGCUCCGGCACCCGCGUUGGAGGCGGUGGCGCCGACGGGUUGGCCCGUGGCGGCCUCGACGGGGGCGGGGGUGCGUGCGCCGGGACCGUCGGUGAGGCCGGCGACUUCCGGGAUGGUGGUGCCCGUCUUGACGGCGGCGGCGGCGCGGUCGGCCCCCGCCCUUGCCUCUACCACUCCCAUUCCCAAGGCGUGGAGCGGAUCCGUCCUGCGUUGGUCGUCUCGUGACGACCCGCAGAGGCCCCUCUUCACGUUGGAUGAUGCCACAGAAUGGGGCAAGUGGCAGGCGCUGCAGGGCGGACUCGCUAACGUCCGCGCCGCUCUAUCUUCGGCGUUGGGGGAGCUGGACGGCGUCAUCUUCCCCGGUGGCCGGGUAUGGUGCUUUCUCCGUUGGUUAUUUUCUUCCCGUUACUUCGUCCCUGAUGGCACAUUGUUCUGCAGGCCCUCCAAGAAUGUAGCCGGGGAAAAUCUGAUUUCCUUUGGCUCGAGCAGGGGCUCUGGGAGCGCUUCAACUUGGAGUUGCAGCGGACCGGGGAGCUGACCAUGCAAGUCGCCACCGUCUAGCAUGUCAUCGACGAUCUGCGAAGGCACGAGCAGGCGGCACAGGAGGACGCGCGGCGGGCGGAGGCCAAGUUCCAGGUCGUUGCCGAAAGGGCUCGCUGCGACCGCGAGGAGUUCCAGGCCGUUGCCGAAAAGGCCCGCCACGACGCUGAGGAGCUCGCACGGCUGAAGGUGCAGCAUGAAGCUCUUCAGAAGAGCGGCAGAGGGCCUGGCAGGACCGGGACGCCGAGAAGGUCCGGAAGGAGGAGGCUGAGAAGGUGGCGGCCAACCUUGGGGCUGAGGUCAGCCAGCUCCAAGUGCAAGCGCGAGAGCUUCAGGCCUCCGUGGCCCAGGGGCUCGACCAGGAGCGCCAGCUGAAGGCCUAAUCCGAGGGUAUGACUCUGUUUAUUUCUUUGUCUUUGUGAUGUUGCGGUGAUAUUUUAUUUGGCGGGUUCUUCUGGAUGAUCCUUGCAGAUGAGCUCAACUGGCUGAGGGAGGUGCUUGACGCGGAGCGCGCUGAGCACGGCGACCUGCGGGACGCGGUCCGCGUCAUCUGUGACUUCCUUAGUGUGGUCCAGGGGGAGGGGACGAGCUCGCUGGCGGCUCGUGUCCUCGGGACGUACCGCCGGACCAGCGAGAUCGCCCUGGAAGCGCUUCGCACCGGCUUGAGGCAAGCCUUUGGGGUCUUCGGCUCCCACUAUUCCGGCAUCAACUUCGCCGGGAUGAGCGGGGGAUACGCCACCGGCUACUACGAGGCCGAGCUGGAUGAGAUCGACGUGUCGGUGCUCAGCCCGGCGGAGGCCUUGGUGAAGCUCCUCGAGGAUGAGGCCGUCCCGCCCGAAGAUCCCCGGACGAGUUAACUAUAUCGGGCUGGCGCCCCAGAUGUAAAUACGUUAGGGAAAGACUUGUUUUUUGUGAGGGCCGUAGAGGCCUUUUCUAUGAAUUGUCGUAAAAAAGUUUUUGAUUCCCUUUCUUGCUUUUUGGACUUGGAAAGUUUAGAGCACGUUGUCGGGCGUGUCAGUAAGCUUUGAUGAGCGAAGGCACCGUAGCCGCUGGGGCGUCGUUUUUUUUGCAGUCCGAUCAAUCUUGCCUGAACACCGUUCGUGCACUUUCUCCUUUUUAUGCCCAAAAGUUCAGAAAGAGGGUCGGCUCGGAAAGAGAAAGCGUUUUGAGAGGGUGUCAAGUGGCUUAGGUACUUGCGGCAGGUUGCGUGGUGGACGCGGAUAUCCUUCUCCCUGACAGAUCUGCGGCGCAUUUAUGGUGAGAUCAACAUGGGGACCCACAAGACCCGCGCCCAAGGCGGAUACUUGUCUGGAGGGCCCGGGUUAGCCCGACCCCCUACGCUUGGGGUCAGGCGAGGCGGAGACUUGCGGCGGGGGGUUGGACGCUCCUGACCCUAGACCUGCGGUCGGGCGAGGCGGAGCUUGGUCUUCCAGGGGUCGGGGGCGCCUUACCCCGGGAUGCGGGGUCGGGCGAGGCGGAGCGUAAUUCUUGCCUCCCAUGUUGGGCCGACGGCAAUCUUUGUUACCUUGGGUGGGCCUGGGCCUUUAUGUUUUGUUGUUUCCAUGGGCUUCGAGAGGUCGUUAAUAUUUCCCCCCAACACUAUGAGGAGGACUUGUGGGCAGAAAGUCAGCUACCACAAACUUGCCUCUGAAUAUUUGGAGUGCAAACAUUGGAUGGUGGUUGUGGAGAGCCCCAGCCAUACCUCGCACCCGUGGAGAGGUAAUUGUCGGAUUGCUUGGUUCGUCUCUAGAAUGCGACAAGGUCAGGCGCCACCUCUCACUGCUGCCAGUCAGAAGGCCGAGGGGCCAGUUUCAACAUAGUAAUGAGAAUCUCCGAAGGCCAAUAUGGUUAAGCAGCUAACCUCCAUGAUCAUAGACUUACGUUUAGAAAAUAGGAGGCUUAGCGAUGCGUUAACAGAGCAGAAGUUAGAAACAGAAGAACUUAAGGACGACUUCCGUGUCCUCCGCCUUGGUCUUUGUGCUAAGAUAAAGCGCUUGUACAAUGCCACGGGGAAUGACGGUCUCUACGAUGCAGCUCAAUAGACGUGCCCCUUGUAUCCUUUCCUUUAGGCACUUUAGAAUAUGUUUAUUUGUUUUCCUUCAUUUUAAUUUCCAAUAGAUUGUUAGCGCCUCCAAUUUAAUUUCAAUAAAGUGUAGACUCACCGGUCAUCCAACUUGAUGGAGUCCUUUUGUCACCUAGUUGUCUUUGGAAGAAGUAGCUGGGUACAAAAUAAGUGUGGGGGAGAGCCACAGACUCUCUAGAGCUGAAACAAUGCACAACACCCACAAAUAGAGAAAACCACGCUGCACCAGCACGUACGUGAAAGUGGAGCCAGAGCUGGACCCAUAGGGGUUUGGCCAACCCAAGGGGUGGCCCACUCGGGCCAUCUUCAUCCACCGCGUCGGUUUGUGUCUCUUUACCCCUGAUCUCCCUGAUUCAUGAGUUUGAAUGAAUUUUAAAUCUGAUCAACUAAUUCAAACUCAACUAAAAUGAAUCAACUGCUCCACCUGCUCUACAUGUUUUCUAUGGUUGGCUUGCAUAUGUUUUAUUUCAUGCUUAUCAUCUUGAUGCUUGUGAACAAAUAUCUUUAGGACAGCAUGCUCAUCUAAGUAGUUGAUGUGUAUGAUAUGGUUCGAUGAUAUGAUCUUCACUCUUAAUGCUUAAGUGCUUGGGAAAAUCUAUUUGAAAAUUUAAAAGCCUUUUUGAAAUCUCCUCUUUGAUGUGCCAAAGUCCUACCAAAGCCAUAUGAUAAGUUAUCUUGAAAAACCAUUUGCAUAUGUUGCUUGUCUUUGCAUUGAGCUUUGUCAAAUUGGUGUGACCCUUGUCACAAUUCUUUUCAUACUUUCAUGAUCAAGACUCAUGUGCACGCCAUAUACCCCUUGCUAUGCUUCUAUGAGAUGUUAGCAUUGUACCAUCCAUUCAUUCCACAAAAUAAAUGCUCCACCAUAUGUGUUGGUCUCCUUCUAAGAUUAUUGUUACAAAAGAGAUAUGGGCUAUCAAAAAAAAAUAUGAAUGUCCAAGAAAGUUGGACACAUGAAUGUCCAAUAAAAAGAAAAAGAAAGAUAGCCAUGUCCUCAGAAAUAUUUACAAAGGGAGAGAGAUCAUACAAAAAGGAGUUUCCAUUCCAUCCACCACAUCCAUACAUGUGCACAUCUUGAUCUGAUUGUAUGACUUAUUUUUCUCUUUGGAUCUGGUCUUUGACUUUGCAAUAUAUGUGAUGCAAGCAUGCCUUAUCCUUCAUAGCCUACCUUGAGCUCCACAUAUAGCCAUCAUUAGAAGUAGGAUGAAGAAAGGCAAGUCUAAUGCCUUGGUGAGGACAUAUACACAUUGAGUGAUCUGAGAGAAUCAAAUGAGGAGCUAAGCAAGGUUUUGUUUUGAAAACUAAUUGAAAAAUCCCAAGCUACUUGGCAUAAGGAGUUGAGGUGACUUGAUUCAAGACCAUUACAUUCCUCAACUACCCAAGAUGGCAUGAUAGACACUCCAAAGUUCACAAGUGCAGGUAUGGUUUGGAAUAUCUUUUAGGCUCGCUUCAUACCUUUGAAAGUUAUGUUUCACCUUAGUCCUUUCUCGUUCACUCAAGGAUAAGCAAAGGCUAAGUGUGGGGGUGUUGUUGAUGGCUCUUAAGUACAAAAUCUGCGCCAUCAACUCUUGCAUAAACACAUAAAAUAUGAGCAUCAACAAUAGUGGUAGGAGUUAUUACAAACGAAUUCCACAAGUCUUGGUGAAUAUUUGUAUGCAAGCCCAAUAGGAGAGAAAAGACACCUCAAAAGCAAGGAAACACACUCUCAACCAAUCAAGAGCAAGCACAUGGAACCAUGGGCCCACAACCAAAAGGAAAUCGACUACAUUCCAAACACCCUAUACCCACAUGAGAACCCAUAGGGCAGUGACCCAGAGCAAAGGUGAUGCCAGAGUGUAGAUGGUAGUUAGCAUGCCAAAUUUUGAACCGCAAGCGCUCGGAUUAGUUGUUUCUUUUCCCUUAGAGAUUCCCCCAAGGUUUAUCAAUCCAUGGAACAAGGGAUUUGCACGUUUCACUAAGCACUAAUCAAUGUAAUUGAAAGCUUUUCGAAUAAGAUAUGAUUAUGCUAACAAAGGAACUAAGCAAUCUAGAUUAAGAUGGAUAGAGAGUACAGGUUGUGAACAAGAUAGAUUAAACGCUUGUAGAUGCAAUCACCAUGCAUGAAUGAAUUAGAUCUAGGUGUUAUUGUGAGUGGUUGUGAACCAUGCCCAACACUUUCCCACCCGCAACAUUGUCACUACAUGUGGGUACUCAACUAUCGGAACAUAAGAACACAUCAAGAUGAUCAUUCUAGGUAAGCAAAUAAGCAACCCAAAGUAGCGCUGGCCAGCCUUUUCAUGAAAGAGCAUCAUCAAGAUAAGAUUGAUAACAAAAUAGAUCUCAACCAAAGGUUCAGCGAUUACAAAUCAAGAUCUUCGUAUAACCCCGAUGACAAAUAGAGGUAUUACCCCCAUGAUCUUACACAUGUUGAUGAAUUUUAGGGUAAAGGACACCCUGUAGAUCAACUGGACCAAAGAUGAUGAUGAACGGGGGCAGGGAAGGCCCAGGUUGAUCAGCCUGCGCACUUUUGAGCCGAUCAGCUCAGGGGGUUUCCUCCUCCCCUGGUGCUCCUCUUCGCGUGGCCUCCUCUGGAUCCAAUCUUCUCUUCAUUUCUCCUACUUGUGGCGGCAAUGGAUGGUGUUUGCAUGGUGAUUUCCUCUUCUCCCCAACUCUCCCUCCUUGAAGUCCAUGAGGGGGUAUUAAUAGUCUCCAAUAGGCGGCAGCUCUGGGUCAAUGUCAGUGAAAAAAUCCUAGAGAUCAUCGUACACUUCAUGCUGAGGAAACAAGAGGUUGACCGAGCCCUGGGAUAGACCAAGAGGAUCAUCCUAGAGGGUCCCAGGCUAAUCGGUCUAGGCCCUUCCUAGCCCUUCUAGUCCUCUCCUUCCUCGUGCUGGCUUUUCUCGAUGACCCUUGUCCAAAUAUCCAUGAAGCUCUAUAUACAUACCCCCUUGAUUAUGUUGUAUUUCCUGUCAAAAUACAAUGCUCCAAAAUACAACACAUAUGCAAUAAUAGGGUUAUUUCAGGUGCCAAUUGGUGGGUUAGUAUACGAAUAAGCAUGAAAAUACUGUUUAAAUGACACUAAAAGUGUGUCAAUAACGAGCACCAACAAUCCCCCCACGCUUAGAUCUUGCUCGUCCUCGAGCAAGUCUAGCGACUAAAAGAUCUUGAAUUAAACCUGAGCAAGCGAGUCAAGUACCUAGCCUUGAAACAAAAGAUUAGAGGAGCAGCAAAGAUAAUCAAAGUCUGGGUGUUCAAAGAUUUAUCUAAGCAAAGAUUCCCCUACAACUAUUAUUCAGAACCAAGUAACUUCAAAAAUCAACUACACUUAUUUUCUGGCUUUUUUCAGAGGGUUUUUCUUUCAUCAUAAAACAAUCUCCCUGCAACAAAAUUGAAAAAAGAAUUAUUUUCAAGGUGCUUACAUGUCGCUUAAAUGAAUGUUGGCUAUCCUACUUAUUUGCAAGCUCUCAUCUCUCAAAAUUCAUUCAAUUAUAUGGUGGAGUUUGGGUAAGGUUAGCUAGAAUCAACACGUAUAUUAUUGAAUUAAGAAAACCCUCUAACGGUGGCCUACCUUCCGAGCCAUUGAUCAUAAGAAUAUCCACAUAAUGUGAAGUUUUCAAGGAUGAGAAGAUAUAGAAUGGUGGACAUGUGCAAAGGCAAAGAAAUAUAGUGACUCUGAGGCACAAGCAAUGUCCUCGUCGUUGGAUUGCAUAUGGUUGUAAUGAAAAUAUGUUCCUUAAACAAGUCUAUCUUUUCUUUGCACCACUCUUGAUCUUCAUGACAGUAAAAACUCCUCCUUUAUUUCUUUCUCUCUUUUCCUAUUAUUUCUUUUUAUUUGUCUCAAUACUUUUAUUUCUUUAUUUCUUUAUUUUAAUCUCUUCUCUGAACCUCUUCUGAACACCACAUAAUAAAAAUAAGUUUUAGAUCCUUCCAGAGACCUUCCAGGAAUUUGCUACAUGAAAACCGAGGCAAGGAGACCCCAGGCCGAUUGGCCUAGCCACUCCUUUGCUCUCCUCUAGCUCUUCUUUCUGGUGAAGCUUCCUUAUCUUGUAUCUUUCCAAAAAUUUCAUAAAGCUCGACUAGAAACGGAACAGAUCUUCAUAUAAUGAGUUGUGUUCAAGGAAUUGGUAAUAAAAUUGAGAAAUUUGUGGUUCGGGUUUACGAAUUCAGUACAAAAAUAUGAUUGUUCCAAUGAAGAACUCUCAUUACUGAAUAUUGACGAGGCAAGCAUUCAAAGAUGGUAAAAAGGAUAUGAUCAAUUCUCAAAAUUAAAGCAAACCAAGAGAGAGCGAUCCUAAUUCAAUUCAAAGUGUCAAAUGUUGCUUAUGGUGGUAUGAAUAAAUAUUUUUAGGCAUUGGGUAGGAUAAAUAAAAACUCUCAACCUGGUUAAAAGAUAUUGAUCAAUCUUGUUUUUGCAGAGGUUUUAAAUAAAAAAUAAAAUUUUAAAUCACCUCCAAUUCAAAGCCUUACUCAUAAAUCAUAAUCAAAACUGAAGCACUUGAUCAUCAUAAAGCAUGGGUAUUGCAUAAACAAAUCGAUUACUAAAACUCCACAACUACGAUUUAGAAUUCAAGACAAUGCUCAUAAUCUAAAGUUGCAAAGAUAAAAUAAAAGACAACCAAGCCAAGGUAGACACUAAAAACACUUGCACGAUCCUUGAAUUUUAUUCAUGCUUCUUCUCACAAAGACGCUAAAGUAGCCAUGUAGGCCUAAGUCUUCCCAAAAGCUUAAGAAAACUACUACUUUAUCUACUUUUGGUUGAAAUAAAAAGACUAAUCUAGACUCUCACAUGAUUCGACUCGACCAAAUUAGAUCCAAAAACUCAUACGAGCGACGAUCUCCCCCCCCUCACGCUUAAAAUCUACGACCUCCUCGUCGUAGCCAUAUGGAGUACAAGGAAAAGAAGCUUGUAAACGCUCUAAUGACGCUACCCGCACUACUUGCACACGGGAUGGUUGCUGCUUCCUUCGCUUUGUUCUUCCUCAUGUUGCUGCACAUCCCGAAGAGCUUCCUCACGUUCCUCUGCAAGAACUUGAACUCGUCCUCCUGACGGCGAUCAUUAUCUUCUGCCUUUUGAUCCAGAGCUUGUAAGGCUUGCAUGAUGUCAUCGAACGCAUCGAAGAGGUAGUGGAUGUUCUUCCUGCAAGCUGUGGAACAUGUACGAUCAUGCUCCUCCGAUUCUGGCCCGUCGUCUUCUAGAUCCUUCUCUUUGCCCUUGUCUUGACGGUGGCUAUCUUGCUCCUUGCUCGCCUUCUUGCCUUCAGCCCAAUCCCAGUACGUGUUGUCAUCUUCUUCAUCGUCACGGCCUGCAGCACCCUAUGAUCCAUUGUCUAUCUUGUAUGAAAGAAUCAGAAGCUUGUUCUCCUCAGGGUGUCUUGCGCGGUGCAGCGUUUGCAAGUGCAAGACUUGCUAGUUCCUUUUACACAUUGUAAUGUUCAUUGCAUGCUCUAAUUGUUCUACAUUUGUAAUUUCUUGGUGAAGUUUGGUUACUGAUCCACUGUUUGAUUAACUCUUGGGCCCAAACACUGUACUACUUCUGAUUAGAUAUCUGUAUCUUGACUUUGACCAAAAAAAAUAUCCGGCAGUUUUUGCCAUUAAAGUUUCAUAAAUCAUCUUGCAAAAAUCGUACUAUACAACAAGGGACGGUUUAUUAUAAAAUAUACGUUCCCCUUAUCACAUGCCACUUCCACUCAAAAGGCAACGAAUCAGUUUUCAAUCCUGAGUGAGCAAUUUGCUUUUAUUACCGAUGCCUCCUAUUCCCUUGUGCACCAAGUUUAUUUUGGAUAGGGCUGCAAAAAACGACUAACCAGCUCGGAUUCUCCACCUGCAAAACCGCAUCUGCAGCAACCAACCCCACGCGGUGGAAAAAAAAACAAAACCUAGAAACCGGACGGGGGUGGAUGUGGGGCUCGGAGCCCAAGCAAAAAACGGAUCGGGAGCGCCGGAGCAGGCCAUCACCGGAUGUUAGAGAUAGAAAAUGGUUGAAGUUUGGAGUGGAAAUCAAACAAGCCUUGGAGCAAAGGAAAAAAAAAGAUCAAACCACUCAAGCAUUCAUUUGAUUUAGAAAAGAGAACAUUUGUUAAGGUGGGGAGUUGAAAUCAUCUUUUAAUUAGUUCCACGUAUCUGGUAUCAUUACAGUUGGUUUACUUGUGUAAGUAUAAGUAGCUCUGCCGAAGCCUUUGCUCCUAUAAUUUAGUAACUAGUACAAAUGGAUCAAUAGGAAAAUCAAGUUGCAAUCAUUUCUCAGCCAACCAAACCUAUGUAAAUCAAAUUAUUGUCCAUGCCCGGCAUGCACAGGUGCCUGCCAUGCAUGCAUUGUUGCUCCAUUGUAAUAACCAUUAUUGUCCAUCGAUGUUGCAGCGCAUGUGUGCACUGUGCAGACACCAAGCAUCGAGAUUAUGUACUAGUAAGGUGUUGAAAUAAUGGGCCUAGCCCAUAAGUAAUUUCAGAAUUUCAAAUAAAUCUCAAAGGCCCAUGUGGGCAAGAGGUGGAGUGGUGCAAGUCUUUAGUCCCACAUUGCUAGUCGAGGGGAGGGAUGACCAACUUAAAUAUGGAAGUUGUCUCCACUCCUCCAAGCUAUGUGUGAAGGGCGCGGGCGCGAGGCACUUGCGUGAAUGGUCCGCCGAAAUCUGGCCCCCCUUGCGGGGGCGCGGCUUCCUUUUGCCGUUUUAUUUUUUGGUUACUUGGUCGUUAAGUCAUGGAAUCCUAACCGGUUUAGAUCACGAUCGUGAAGGUUUUUGGGAAGCGCUCUGCGCGACUGCUCGAUCGCUUCUUCCGCUUCGUCAAGUUCUUCGUCGACUCCUUCACCACGGCUCGUCUACCUCUUCGUCGCUCGGGCCUCACUCGUCGUCGCGAACAACGUCAGGCUGCUGAUCGUCGUCGCCUGCUGUAUCCGGUAGUCGUCCAGGAGCCGGUUUUCAUCAAGAAAGAAACGUACGGUCUCUUAACUCACAUUAUGUCUUCCAUACUAGCUAUUAUGAUUGUUGCAGUCUGAUAGCUCUGGAUAGUAUGGUAGAAUGUCUGAUUCUAUUUGCAAUGAUAGACUUGUCUAGAUCUUGCGUAGACAUGUCUAGUUUAAUCUGCUGCUUGUUCAUCAUAUUCAUGAUUUAUUUCUGGAUUAAGUUAAAACUAAAAGUGCUUAUAUAUCCAACAUAAGGUACCAAGAACACGUGAAGCACCCGGGGGAGGCUGCUCCACUCCGCAUGCACAGGUGGGCACGGCACCACUACUCGUCUCCUUCAGGCUGAGGAUAAGUGAUGUACGCUGAUCAACAGACCACGACGGAACCAGCAAUAAUAGUUUCAGCCUGCCUCACAGUAAUUAAUAUAUCCUGUAUCCUCCGAGGACCCCUCCCCUUAAUCUUGGCCUAUUGCAUCCAAUAAUGAUAUGUGUGUUUAUCCAAAUUUACGGCACCUUUGGCGGGGGUUCCACCCAGCUCCGCCCUCUCCACCUUCGGUACUCCAUGGGAAACCAUUCCUUUGGAAUCAAGGAAGCUUGAACAGUAUAACGAAUAAAGUUUCAUAUAUCCAUUUGAUUUCACAUGAAAUAAAAUAUUCUGUCAGAACCAAUGGUUUCACUGAAGCUCCAGGCAGCGAGCGAAGGGGUGAGAGAGGAUAACGCUUACUGUGUGUUACCAUCGCGUGCACCAUGGAUGACCAACGCGCAGCCGAGAUGAAACGGCGGACCUAAACAGGUCCUCGCUAUUUUUGCAGGUUCUCGACCAGGCCAGUUCUUUAGGCCAACCUAUCAUUCACGAGUUAAACAUACGGUGGCUGGAGAAAUGUUCUAUUCUUUUAAACAAUACCAGCUGGUUCCUCCGUUUUUAUUCCACCAAUACAAGCACCACCUUGUAACAUUUCCUAUGUUUUUUUUCCUUUCGUCUGUUUUCUCACUACAUGCGUUGCUCUUUCAUGCAUUUUUUUCCAUUCCUGUAUUCCAAAUAGGUCUACAUGAACACAAAAUGAACUAGGGGACAGAAAAAGCCAGUGAAGUUAGUUUUGAGCUUCACCAGCUACUUGCUACAUAAAGUGUGCUAUAGUCGCAGAAAAGCUAAGCUGGAUCAGACGUGGCCGAAACAAUGCCAAAGAGCUAGGUCCCUAGCUGAUGGCAACACAUCAGAUGACUAGCCUGCUUUUCUGUAAUAAUGAUAUUGAGCAAUACACUGCAUGGCUAACCUGCUUUACAAUAAUUGUCAUUUUAUAAUAUUGGUCAUCACGAGAGAUGCACAUUGCAUACACCGGCCCAUCCCUAUAAAUAGCCAAGCCUUUCAGCCAUCUUGGGCACCUCCUCUCAGGGCCUCGUCUCACCAUCAGACAUCUCGUUCCCAGUUAUAAUUUGCGAGGUUAGAUCAGGCUGCGCCAUGGCGUCCGCAACUGCUGUCAAGAUCGUCGCCACCUUCAUGCUGGUGCUGACCAUGGGCCACCUGAUGGCCGAAGCAUCACCGCAGCCUCGGCGUGUGCUUGCAGAAACGGAGCAUGCUGCGGUGUCCGGGAAUCCUGGCCUCCCAGGUGAUGCUAGCGUCAUGCAGGUCCUCGAACCCGCCCUAGUUUCUCGGCUUGCCUGCAAACCAGAGUGCACAGUCCCUUGGCCUCCUUUUGUAUGUAUCUGCUAGAUCCUCUUCCUGGCUCAACGGAACUUCAGGGAAAUGGCUGUGACGUCGGCCAAAGAAUAAAUUGGAUGAACAUAAUAUACCCCGGGUAGUGUAGCUUGGGCUUUUGUUGAGCGUCUGGUGCUAGUUGUAUUUUGUUUGCUCAUGUGGCUUUGCUUCUGGUUGCAUAUUGGCUUUCCUAUCGCUCUCUGUUGCAGCUAUGGUUUCUGCCAGGUGUGUGUUAAUGCGGUUUGUAAGCGGUGCUUGUUCCUACCUUCUGUUUUCAAUAAAAGAAGUCGGAGUCUCCCUCCGACUCUUGUUAUCAGUCAACAAAAAUGAGUUGUAUCAUAUAUAUCUGCGUCUUUUUUCUACGUAUCUUUGGGCUGCUUCAGCUGGAAGUUUAUCGUAAGUACGUGUAUCAGGAUGAUCGUUUGAAUUAAAACGAAAUGAUAAUGUGUGGCUGCUAGAAAUGGAAUGAGCAUCUUACUAUAUUACUAAUUGGAAGCCUCCACGUGAAGCCACCUAGAAAUUCUAGGUGGACGUUUUAAAAAAAACAAAACUCAUAGAAGCCUCCACCACCUAGGAAUCCUAGGUGGACACUCUAAAAAGAGACAAAUCCUAGAAAUUCUAAAAAAAGAAAAAAAUAAUAACAAUAAGAUUUUUUUGCAGUCAAUUACAUAUAUUUUUUUGAGACACCGUGCUGCUAGCUCUUGCCAUUGCGACCAGUAAAGCAAGCAGAUAGUAAGAUGACAUGCGUGUGGAUUGAUUAAAACAAAUUCAGUUAGUUGAUUCUAAAUCGUAUGUAUCCUAAAAGGAAGAUAUGUGCGUGCAUGGUCCCUAGCGAUGACAUGUAGACAUGUAUUGCAAUUUCUUUUUUAAAAAACAUGUCUAUCUCUAAACCAACAAACAGAAAAAAUAUCAAUCUAAAUCUAAAUCUCUUCCGUUCUCACACGCCUAUUAAAGAGAAGACAACCAAUCCCAUCCAUGUUCCAUAGAAUCCAUCUAAAAGCUUGCUCACUGCGGACGGCAUUUGACGGCAAAUCAAUGAAAGAUCAUCCUCUCCAAAUAGCUGGACGGCAUCACCAUCUUUAUCUCACCAACCUACAGAGCUACAACGAUGUUGUAGAGAUCAACUAGGUAACCUACCAAUCACCCUCCCCUUUUCUAUAUGCUCUAAAGAACACGUGGAGUAAUUAUAGGCCUAUAGGAGCCGACUAACCUAGAUUAAUAUGAAAAAUAUUCCAAUAUUAAAAGCAAGCAGAUAGUAAUACUUGCCUUUGACCAUUUUUCUAGAACUGUUAUUCCUAUUGAAUGUUCAAGUGCUACGGCCAGGCAUCGAAUGCCUGCACGGAACCUUCCUAUUGAAUGGUUACUCUAGAGAUCAACGCACCGCGAGACAUUUUUAUGGAAUUUGUUUGAUUCCCCUUCUACAAUUAGAUUAAUUUUUCAUGGCAUAUAUUACUACUAUUAAAUUAUUUGUUUAUUGUCGGGCCUGCUGCAUGUGUGGUAUAUAUGACUUGCUUCUCACCAUUGUUCUCAAACUAUUAUUCCUAUCGAAUCUUUCUAUCGAAAUAUAUUUUAAUUACUUGAUUGUUGUUUGUGUACCAUAACUUCUGUAUAGAAAAAUUCCAUGUUUGUAGAUAAUGUCUUUUGUAUAGAAAAAUAGCCCAAUUAGAUCCAUCACCAUCUUUUGCUUAUGUAGUUGAACAAGUUGCAAUGUUGAACAAAACUUUAAGUGAAAUUAGACCAGGAAAAGGAAUUGUGGAACAUUAAGGCAAGGGUAACCAGAUUGUGGAAUGCAACCUUACUCAGUAGUGGCGAACAAUUAAGUCUUGACAUGAUCCUUAUUGAUCAAAAGGUAUGAUAGAUGUUCACUUUGAUUGCAUUAUUGGUAUAAUUUUUGGUUUACAAAUUAUUAAUGAUGAUGCAAAAUUAGGGAACCAUGAUCCACGGUGUUAUCAAUAAGCCCUAUAUGAAAAAGUUCAAACCAUUGAUUGAAGAAGGCAAUGUGUACAUAAUUGCAAAUGUCAGAAUCACACCAGAACCACAGAAGUAUCGGCCAGUGGAAAAUGACAGGAUAGUCAACUUCUUACCCACAACUGCACUAAAAACGAUCAAAGAUACUGAAGACAUUCCAAAGUAUAGUUUUAACUUCAUGAGCACGGAUAUGCUUUCAGCAAGAAUAAAUGUGGACAUGUACCUAUUAGGUAAAACAUUACUGGCUUUUCAAUUUUUACACUUCCACUCAUUAAAUGACCAUCUAAUAAUAAUACAUAUUUAUGUUUCAUAGAUGUUAUAGGUAUCUCAGCUCACAUUGGACCGAUAGAAGAAACAAGGACAAACUUCGGAUUUACUAAAAUCCGUGAUAUUGUGCUCCUGAUCGAGUAAUUCUCUUUUCUUUUGUAGAAAACAACUACAAAACUUUCAACAUUUACAUGUAUGUUAUAGAACUUCUGUUGAACUAAAAAAUAUCUUCUACAGUGCCCCUACAAAUAAUUAAUUUCGUAGUUGGAUAUUUAAAAUAUUUAUUAUUCACUUUUAAAUUUGUGGCCAUGAAGUUAAAGUUAGAUUUUGGGGAGACAAAGUUGAGGAAGUUGAUGAUAAGACAAAAUCCCAUGUCAUUGCAAUAACAUCUACAACUGUGAGUAAAUUUGGCAGUAAGUCUUCAUUCAAUAUGAGUUAUUCAAUAUUAGUCAUUCAACAAACUAACCUCGUAAGAAAAAUAAAUAAUUGAUGUUUUAUCAGGGUAUUCUCUAUCGUCAACCAAUGCAACAAAACUUUAUGUAGAUCUACCUAUUCCUGAAACUAAGGAUGCACAUGAUAGGUGAGAAAAAUUAGAUAUUGUUUUUCUAUUUUAAUCUAUGUAGCAUGCACUCUAACAUGAUACAUUCUUUCAUAUGAUAAAAAAAUGUUAGUUCAAUUGAAAAUAUUGUCAAAGAGAUUCAUAUUGAGGACCAUCUAAAAGGGACAUUGGAAGACCAAAUGCAGUACAAUAGAAGAACUUUAGAAGAAUUAAAUUUCAUAUUAUUUGAAACAUCAAAUCAGGUAUGGAUUAGUAUGUUCAUUGUACACUAUACUAUUUAAAGACUUACAUACAUAAUGAUGGUAUUGUUCCUACUUUCAGGAUGAGGUAUUUACUAUUGAAGCAACAAUAAAUGAAAUUAAUGCAACAUAUGGUUGGUUGUCACACCCGAUUUUAAGGACAAAAUUGAGUGCAUUAAAUACAUGUGCACCAGGAUCAAGUUACACACAUCCUAUGAGUACCGUCCUUCUUUGGCACAAAGAUAACCGGUGCUCCCCAUGGUGAUGAACUAGGCCGAAUAAACUAUUUUGCUGAUAAUUCCUCUAGUUGUUGUUUCAAUUCUUUUAAUUGUUCAACCAACAUUCUAUAAGGACGUUUGGAGAUAGGUGCAGUACCAGGUAAAAGAUCAAUAGCAAAUUCAAUGUCGCGGUCAGGUGGCAUACCUGGUAAAUCGUCGGGGAACACAUCCGGAUAGUCACACACCACUUUGAUAUCUUCCAAGGAUUUUCCAGCCAACUGAUUAACUGCACAAUCUGCUGCUGAGGGUAGAGUAGCUACAAACUCCACUUUCUCUCCAUCAGGACCUGUUAGCAGAACUGUCCUCUUGGCACACUGAAUCGUUGCAUCAAAAGCGGCUAACCACCUCAUCCCCAGAAUUACAUCGAUUCCACUGGACUCAAGGACGAUAAGAUCAGCCGGAAACUCUAUACCCAUUAUUCUCAGUUUAACUUGUGGACAGAUGUAUUGAGCCUUCAUUGACCCCCCAGGUGAACUCACUAGCAUAUGACGCCUCAUGGUAUGCAUGGGUAAAUUAUGCUUUGCUACAUAAUGACUAGUGACAAAAGAAUGCGAUGCUCCAGAGUCAAAUAAAACUGAUGCGGGGGCAGAGUUGACAAAGAACAUACCAAGCACUACAUCUGGAGCCUCCUUAGCAGUCUCGGCUUCCAUGUGGUUCACCUUGCCACAAACAAAGCUUUGCUGCCCCUGAUUGCCUUGUGGGGUCUGGUUCCCAUUCCUCGGUUGCUGCAUCUGAUUCUGCCGAGGAGCACUGCUGUUCUGCACGGGGGUAGCUGGCCCACCUCUCUUAGGACAAGAGCUGGCAUAGUGACCAACCUCGCCACACUUGAAGCAGGUAGGACCCACUGGAGCAUUGGGCCUUGUUGGAGUGCCAGUAGGGGUCAUCUGGCGGUUCUGCGUAAAGCUUGGGCGCGGAGUCUGCAUAGUCUGCAUCCCUGGAUGCUGGAACUGAGGGCUAGGGCGCUGGAAUGACUGCUGAGCAGGGCGCGGAAAUGAGUGCUGCCAAAAAUUCCCACUCGGGCCCCCUGCGCGGAACGGCGUCCCUUGCUGUGGAGCAAAGCGAGGGCGGGUGUUGCUUCCUGAAGACUACUGGGAAUUGAAUUUCCUCUUCAUCUCCCCGAGCUCGUUCCUCUUGUGUUCCAGGCCAAUUGCCUUGUCUAGCAUCUUCUGGAAACUGGGGAAGGUGUGCGACAUAAGCUGAUAUUGGAGUGGUCCAAUCAACCCAUCCAAGAAUAGCUCCUGCUUCUGCUCAUCAUCAGCAACAUCUUCGGGAGCAUAUCGGGACAACUGGACAAACUUGUCCCUGUACUCUGCCACUGUCAUGUUCCCCUGCUUGAGAGCAAGGAACUCCUUCUUCUUAAGCUUCAUCAAUCCGGAAGGAAUAUGAUGACUUCUGAAGCUAGUCCUGAAUUCAUCCCAGGUGAUGCCAUUAGCAUUGGCAUGGGUGGUGGUGUAAGCAUCCCACCAAUCAGCAGCUGGCCCUUCCAGGCGUCCUGAAGCAUACAGGACCUUCUCCCUGUCAGUACAUUGGGCGAUAUCCAGCAUCUUCUCCACUGUUUUCAGCCAAUCAUCAGCAUCUAAUGGAUCCGGAGAAUGUGAAAACGUCGGGGGCUUGUGGCUCAUGAACUCCCUAUGCCUGUCCCUUGGCGGCGGCUGCUGCUGGUUGUUGUUGUUGUUAUUGUUCAGCUGAGCUUGUAAAGCUGCCACGGUGUUGGUCAGUCCGGCGAGAAGCUGAGUCUGAGCUGCUAGAAACUGCUCCAUCCCUGCAGGUGCUUGUUGGUUCUGUUGCGGAGCGGUGUUGGGAUUGCUGCUGUUGUCCCUGUGGCGUGGCACUGUGGGACGGUCAACUCCUGAUCCGGACCUGGUGUUUACCAUCUGAGCGUUAGAGACAAUGGAUUUAGAUAGAUGUGUGAAAGAAUAACUGAGAAAGAUAAAGCGACCAGAUGUAAAAGUAACACAGAUUCUGUUAGCUCCAUUUAAUUAGGUGUGGUCGUCAGAAGAAGUGUCCAUAAAUUCUGAACAAUUACCAAGUCGUAACUUAUUAAAUUUGUAAACCAACCCAACUGGAAUCAUCUCAAUCGGACUUCUGGAUCUCGAGUUACAAAAUUAACAAGCUGACAGUGUCGGUCGAUAGGUUCAGAUUCUGAGUGCUUUACUAAUUCGCAUACACCUCCCAGACAGAUACACCAAAAAUUCUGAAAAAUUUACAGAUAGUACUCCACGAAAUUCUGAAACUAACCCCACUGGUUUCAUGUCAUUUGGACUUCUGUAGCUAGAGAUAUAAAUAAAAAAGUACUGGCGUGUCAGUUAAUGUCGAGAACAGAAUUGAAUGUCGCUUAGCUUGCGUGAUGGAUAGAUUUAGACAGAUGGUAGAUCAUGAUUAAGGAAGAUUAAAUACUGAUUUAGAACAGAAAUAAAACCCAACUAAGCACUUUAUUUAUUAAGACCAGUAUCGUGUGGCAAUUGCCCCACAUACCGCACUCAUUACAAAAUCCAACUCAAACAUGUAGCACAAAACCAAUCAUCUAAGCACACUUUAACUAACACACUCGAACGACGUCUAACGAUUACAAGAAUUUAAACUAAAACACUCCUAAUUUCCUAGAGGUCUUCUGCGGCGGUGCCGGGCGAGUCGUAGCGGGGACGCUUAGGCGACGGCGACGAAGCGGGAUGAACAGCAAACUCCUGCGGCGGCGGUGCUCCCGUCGCGGCAGCCAUAUUCGCAUCCCUCUCCCACCGGAGUUCCUGAACCUCCUGUUGAAGCUCCUGGAUGUGGUUGUUUGCUUCAUUCAAUGCGGUGAGAGCUGCCGACGUGUACUUGCGGAGGAAGUCUGUAGCCAUGUCAACCCCAUCGUUAGUAGCGAUGAAGGUUCUUGCUUCCCCACUAGCUCGGUAAGGAAGGAACCGAUGGUAAGUGUGCUGCAAUCGCGGCCGUUCCUUGUGGGAGACGACCUCAAGUGCCCUCCUGGCGGCCUCGGCAAUGCCGGAUUCCAUGGUCCUCCUUAUGGUCACAUCAUGGUGAAAAGCCUUCACCUCCCAUCCUCCCUCGUGCUCCUCACGAAGGACAACCUUCACCUCCCAAAAAGUGGGAUAGCGAGGGUGGGUGAACCGGGAGCACUUGUAGAGUGGCCUCAUGCCGUACCCCAAGCGGUGACAAGUCCACCUGAGUAUGUCGGCCAUGUGCACUCCUUGGCCAUAAUCUUCCUUCACCCAUUUGAUCCAUGUCUCGGGCUCGGGAUCUGCUUCGGGCUCAUCAUCCGUCAAGUCGACGACCGGUACGGGCGUCGGGGCUGGUGCAGGAGCGGGCGCCGGUGCUGGCGACGGUGCUGGUGACGGCGUGGUCUCCUGCUCCACGGUCACGGCGUCCCCGUCAGAGUCAUCCCCCGGAUGCUGGAAGAUCUCUUCCUCUUCUUCCUCGUCCCAAGGCUCCAUGGGGGCGUACGACGGCGCGAUGCCAUGACGCGGCGGACGGGUGCUCUUGCGUGCGGUCAACCGGGUGCGAGCCAUCUAACAGAAAGAAAGAAGAAAAUUUUAGAAUAAAAUUUUGAACAAAGCUAGAUAAUAAAAUAGCAAUAAGGAUGAGACAAAUCAAGUUUAAGAAUAAUUAAGUAGAUUUAAAUUAAGAAAGGUAGGAAUGGCUACUAGAUUAUUAUAAUCCUUAAAUACGACCAUUUUCUAACUAGGCUAACGUCCUACAGUCAACACGGCUCUGGUACCACUUUUGUCACACCCGAUUUUAAGGACAAAAUCGAGUGCAUUAAAUACAUGUGCGCCAGGAUCAAGUUACACACAUGUACGACAAUAGUGAAUAGUAAAGCCAGUGCUAAAUCGAAUAAAGAGAGUAUUAACCAUUAUUACAUGACCGAAUGUCUCAAAUAAACCACAAAGUCUAAUUAUUACGCAGCGGAACUCCAAAGAUGACGACGACUCCAUAGGCAGCUGACUGAAGAAACGUACGCCUAGAACUCCUCGAAGUCGUGGAAGUACUCCUCUUCCCAAUUAACUUGGUCUGAACAGCGGUUUUGCAAGGGUGAGUACACUUAUGGUUGGUACUCAACAAGUCGUGGGAAGUAGUGUAGUGUAAGGCUAAUUCAAGGUAUGGCUAAGGCGUAAAUAGCAUUCGCUUUUAAUUAAGUUGGUCAAAUUUUAUUAGCAUUUACUAAGUAUAAGUUCAUACCACCCGAAAUUAAACAUGAACAUAAAGUAAACCACAUGUGCAUGAAAUGAUAACAAAUUAAAUCCAUCUUCCGAUAAUAUUAUCAUGUGAGGGUCCAGGCCGCUCUUAACCGUGAGCACGGCUGAUUGAUCAGUUUAACACUCUGCAGAGGUGGCACAUCUUUACCCACAAGUCGCGUAAAAGUUCAAAAGAACUUUGGACCCAACCAUGCGGUGUUUGCAAGGCACCAUACCACACUUCCGAGGUGUGAUUGCAUAGGGACGCUACGAGGCCUUUACAAAGAUUCAUUAAUCAGUGGUAACCCGCUAAGGUUUCGGUGUCUGGCGUGCACCACCCAUCCCAGGUAAAAUGCAACGACUCAGUCCCCCCCCUUGAAUCAUCACGAGUAAGGUCACCCCAGACUAAGGUUUCUAAUUAAUCAGCCAAGACCAGAGCUAUUUAGUCUUGUGGUAGCACUGUUUUCCUGGGUGGUCGCUCCAUGUUCUGAUUAACAAAUAAUGAUCUUGUCUUAAUGAAAGGUAUAACAGAAAUAAGGCAAGAUUAAGCAUUGUUUUUAGUUAAACCACCAUGUACCAAGUAAGCACUAAGCAUGAGCUACCCAACAUAAAGUAAACCGGUUGGUCAAGGCAAAGGUAAAACAAUCUAGGCCAACCUUAAUUGGGACCCAUCAAUUUAAUCUUAAUAUGUGCACAGCAUAAAUGUUGAGUACGAGAAAGUAAAGGUGUAUAGGACAAAAAGGUAGUGAUCAAGGACACGACUUGCCUUCUUGGCCUUGCUCCUGCUGUUCGUACUCCUCGAAGGCUUGAUCGGCAACUCCCUCGAACUGCGGGGCGUCUACACGCAUCACACGAGCACAUACAAGCAAACAUGGGCAAAAGUAAGAAAACAGUAUACCAAACAUAGUCAAACAGAGAAAACAAGCUUGAAAAGAUGAUCUACGCUUUAAAACGAACACGCGGAUAUAAAGAACGCGAAAAACGGAGUUAAGAUGCAAAAGAUAUGAUUAAAACAAAAUCCAGGGACUUUUCUGUAAGAAAAACAAAACUUUUAGGGCCUAUCCGCGAAAACCGAGGGCUUAUACGUAAUUAUGCGUAUAAACCGAGGGUCUGAUGCGUAAAAACAUCAAACCCGGACGGCGGGUUGAUUUCUGGAAAGGUCAAGGGUUAAACCGAAAAAUGCGAGGGCAGAUCUGUAAAUACUUUCAACGCGAUCUGGACCGCGGGUUGAUUUGCGAAAAAGGCGGGGGCUAAAGUGCAAAAACUGCACGGCGCGGCUCGGUUGACCGGUACGCGAUCUUGAUUGACUCGCGUCCGGCCGUCGGAUUAAGAUCCGACGGUCGCGGUGAUCCGCGACAUCGCGGCGGCGGCGGCGAGCGGCGGCGAGCGGCGGCAAGCGGCGGCGGGUCGCCGGAGUUAGGCAAAAUAGCGCCACGAGGCACGGUUUAACGCGCGGGUUGCACCAAAAAAGAGAGGGGAACACGUCGAUCCCGUUUUGGGGGUUCUUGUCGACGGGGGCUCACCGGCGACGGCGAACGGCGGCGAGGAAGAGGCGGCGGCGCUAGGAGCUCGGGCGGCUAGGGUUUCGGGGAGCUGCGGCGCUGGUUUUGGGCGGAGGAGACUGGGAGGAGGCGGCGGCUUUUAUAGGGCUUGGAGAUAGAGCCGGCGCGGGUUCAAAUCCCCCGGAGGAGUCGGAGCGGAUGGAGUCCGGGGCGGAGACGGCGCGCGGCGGUUGCGGAGUUCUGACCGGAUUCGGCCGGAGGUGGGAGACGAUGGGUGGGGUCCACCCGUCAGUGGCGGAGGGGAGCGGUAGACGGGCCGGCGCGACCGUGGGCUGGCGCGCGCUCGUGGGCUGCGGGGAGCGGGAGAGAAGCGGCGAGCGGGCGCUGGCGGAGCAGGCCGAGCGGAGGUAGAGCUGGGCCGCGGAGAAAAAGGAGGAGGCCGGCGGGCUGCUUCGCAGGCCGGUAAGGAUGAGGCGGCCGGGCCGAAGAAGAAAAAGAAAAGGAGGGACAAGGAGCUUUCGGCCGAGGGAAAAGAAGAAGAAAAAGAAAAGGAAGAAGAAAAGGGAAAAGGUUUUGGAAUUUGAAUUUAAAUCUGAAAUUCAAAAUUUGAUUCAAACUCAAGCAACCAAAAAUUAUGCUCCAGCAUGAAUGCACAAAUAAUUCCUAUGAUGAAUUAAUUGAAUUAAAGAAAAUGAAUUUAAAUGCCUAGAAAUUAAAUAACACCCUAAUUUGAGCAAAUUUUAAUGAAUUUGAAUUAUUGAAAUUUUGGGUGUUACAUUGGUACUACAUCUCAUGUAGUAGAGGCGAUUGUAAGAAGCAACUUGAAAAGAAGUUUGAUCACUACUAUUGCAAUAAAUGUGACAAGAGAGCCGAACCUAAAGCCCAGUAAAUUAUUUAGUAGUUUACAAUCUUAUUAUAAUACUUCUAUUUCUAAUAGGAGAAUAAUAUUUUCAGAUUCAAAUUAAGCUUCAAAUAAGUGAUCCAACAACAAGUGCAACUUGUGUACUUUUGACAAGGAAGCAGAAAUGAUAAUUAAUGAAUGAGCAGAUUCGAUGAUCACCUCAGUUGAUCAUGAUAAUAAGUAGCUACCAAAAUCAAUUCAGGAAAUAUGUGAAGAAACAUUGAUUUCUCAAUUCAGAUUGACCGAGUACAACUUGACAAGUUUUAGACCUGAUUAUACUGUUUCAAAGAUAUUUUUUCCAAAAGAAAAGGGCAGUUCAAGAAUUGGUAUGGAAAGUGUAAAAAAGGUAACACUUUAUUAUUAAUUUUUUAUUGCACUUUUUUCUUUUGAAUCCGUAAUACUUAAUAAUUUUACUAUAUCAAUGAAACAAAUUCUAACCUAAAUUUAUUUUCUUUUUUAUUAUUUGUAGGAAGUAGAAGACAACUCAGACAAAUGCUACACGAUAACUACCGAGAAUGAAGAGGUAGACACUGAUGACUCUUUUACCGAGAAAGUAACAUUCGUAGAAGAAGCCAUAAGGACUGGGGAAAGAUUGGCUAGAAAAGUAUACUCACUUCCAUGUCAGUGUUCAUUCUAUUUACAAUACAUGCAAAAAAAAUAUUAUUCAUGCAAAAUUGCAGGUCUACUAAGCAUUAAAGGAAUAGCGGAUAGUGCAAUAUGUAAUCUGAGCAGCAUGCAUUACAAAGUGCUCUACUGCAAUUAAAUUAAAAAACAUGAUAUAUGUUGAAUUCUUAGACUUUAUUAUUAUACUUUUCUACGUGACAAUUCACAAUUUUUUAGAAAAAAGAAGAUCCCAGAAGAAGUGACCAUGAAAAAAGGUCUAUGACCAGCAAUAAGAAAAAAUGCAAGCAUAGAAACAAAUCCGUAGAAAACAUAGAAAAUAAGGUACUCCAUAAACAAAAGUAUUCUCUUAUAUUUUUAUUAAAUAUUUUUUUAACACUUGACAAGUUCUUUUUUAGGAUCAAUAUAUCAGCAAUUCAGAUGUCAUUGGAGAUGAAACCUUAGUUCAUCCAAAAGGUCAAAAAAAAACAUCUGAAGAAAGGUGUUUGGCUGAAAAGGAAAAGCAAAAAAGUGGUAAUGCAGACAAACACAUGCAGAAAAAUAUAAAAACAUGUCAUAGGGAGGCAGACCAAUCUUGCAAGGAGGUAUAGACGAAACGUGAUACACGACCUGCCUACCUUGUCGUGGAUACCCCAAGAAGAUGUCAUAGAGGUGCAGACCAAGCUAGCAAGGAGGUCGAAACGUGAUACACGGCCUGCCUACCUUGCCGUGGAUAUUAGCCCUGAGAUCAUUCUACUGUUCAAGGAAUAACACUCAAUGCUGCUGCUGCUGCUGACCUGGCUCCAUAAAGUUAUACUCCUCUAGGUGCUUGCACUAACUUUAUCUGAAGUAUUAUUCUCUCUGCACUGUAUAUAUGGUUAUGGAGUUUGCUGGAGUAUCCGGGGCGAAGAACCUACAUAAUACGUCUUGGAACUAAUUGACAUUGAUUCACAGACAAACUCUACAAGGUGCUGUUCUUGCCAUUUUAGAGCAUCCAAAGGACUAUAAAUAACAUAGUUUACCAUAUACCAUAUACCAUAUACCAUAAUAUGUUAGCUAAAAUAAGAGCAUACACAUGUUGCAGGAGUCCAAAAGCACCGGUUGAGGACCAGGUACAUUGAAUUACUAGAAAAAGACAGGGGACAAGGUUUAGGUAACCACAUGAAACAUUUGAAUUUAUUGUACUAUGAACACUUAGUUACCAUGCCAGGAGCACAUAGUUAACACUAACAUUUAGCCACUUUAGAUCAUCCCGAAUCACCAAUGACCCUCAAUAGUGACAAAUUUUGGUUUAAAUGCCAUCACCAAUGAUCCUCAAUAGUGACGUAUUUAGGUUUAAAUCCCGUCACUAAUAACCCUCAAUAGUGACCUGUUUUGGUUUAAAUCUCAUUACCACUGAUCCUCAAUAGUGAUGUGUUUUAGCAAAACAUGUUAUCAAUGACUUGUCAUUGGUGACGUGUUAAAACGCGUUAUCUCAAUGGCAAAUCAUUGGUGACGUGUUAUCUCAAUGUUAUCAAUGUUCUAUUCUUUUCAACAAUACCAGCUCGUUCCUCCGUUUUUAUUCCACCAAUACAAGCACCACCUUGUAACAUUUCCUAUGUUUUUUUUCCUUUUGUCUGUUUUCUCACUACAUGCGUUGCUCUUUCAUGCAUUUUUUUCCAUUCCUGUAUUCCAAAUAGGUCUACAUGAACACAAAAUGAACUAGGGGACAGAAAAAGCCAGUGAAGCCAAUUUUGAGCUUCACCAGCUACUUGCUACAUAAAGUGUGCUAUAGUGACGUGUUUUAGCAAAACAUGUUAUCAAUGACUUGUCAUUGGUGACGUGUUAAAACGCGUUAUCUCACUGGCAAAUCAUUGGUGACGUGUUUUAAAAAAACAUGUCACCGUGAGAGUCAUUGGUGAAGGGUAAUUAAAAUGCGUCACUAAUGUUGUAGCAUUAGUUAUGAUAAUUUAGUAACGCAAAAAUCUACCAUCAGUAUUGAGCUUUAGAGCCAUCGCUAAUGUGGGUUUCUUACAUAGUGAUGCAAGCUCUACAAGGUGCUGUUGCUGCCAUUUUAAAGCAUCCCAUGACUACAUGUUAAUAACAUAGUUUACCAUAUAUCAUAAAAAUAUUAGUUACAAUAAGCACAUACGCAUGUGGAAGAGUCCGAAUGCACCGGUUGAGGACUAAACACAUUGAAUUACUAGAACCAAAUGUAUGUUUAGAACAAAGACAGGGGUCAAGGUUUGGGUAACCGCAUUAAAAACAUUGGAUUUUACUGUACAUGAACACUUAGUUACCAUUACCAUGCCUUGAGCACCUAGUUACAACAAACAUUAAUUUAGCCACUUUAGAGCUUCCAGAAUCGCUAUAAAUAAUAUACCUACGCCGUACCAUGAAAACAUCAAGAAGAGAGACGGAUACAUGGACCACCAUCAAGCGAGUAGUGACAGCACGCACAAGAAUACCCGGAACCUGUUAGCUUGUCUGUAGUGAUCUGUUUUCUUCCCCAUAAAAUCCAUGAGUAUUGCCACAAAUAAUGAAAGAGGCUGACCAAGCUAGCAAGGAGGUAGAGCAAACGUGAUACACGGCCUGCCAAGAUUGCCCUGGAUACGCCAAUAAGAGCGACAGAUACAUGGAUCACACCAAUAUGGUGAAACGUAUAUUCAUCACACAAGCAAAGCUGGUCAGUUUAUCCAUGGUCAAAUUGUGGUCUUUGUUUUCACUUGAGAGCUAAUUGAGGCACUAUAAUAUGGGCAGGCCUAUCUUCAACAGACAUGACAGCUACAGGGAACUUGACAUAAUUUGCUGGGCCGCCUGUGCACAAUUAUUUGUUUUAUUGUCCUUGCAUAGAAUGCUAAAAUACUCUUUACAAAAUGUUGGAUCUAAUAUUUGAAAUAUAGAGUAGUAAUCAUAUAUUGAUCAACAACUUGAAAUUAUCUGUACAUUCUCGGUGAAGCUGUUGAACUAAUUUUUGCAAAUUAUUAAUUCAUCUCAUUACGUAAAGAAAAAAGUAAGUGGAUAAGAUAUUUCGUGGACCACAUCACUGCAAACAUGUCAUGGAGAGACAGACCAAGGAGGCAGGACGUGAUACACGACUUACCCUAGGUUGCCGUGGAACCGCCAAGAAGAGAUACAGAUACAUGGACCACACCAUCUUGGGAGUAGUGACAGCAUAUAUGCAGAAGAAUACCCCGUGCCUAUUUGCAUGCAUGUCUCAAGUGAUCUGUUUUCUUCAGAAAAUACAUGAGCAUUGCCAGAAAGAAUGGCAAGAGACAAACAUGUCAUAGAGACUUGCAUGUCUUGCCUUGGAUACGCCAAGAAGAGGGACACAUACAUGGAUAACACAAAUCUAGUGACACGUAUAUUCAUCACAAAGGCAAAUCUGAUAAUUUUAUCCAUGGAGCAGACCAAGGAGAAAUUGAUGACGGACAUGUGAUCUCUGUAUUCAGUUGAAAGCUAAUUGAGCUACACUAAUAUGAGCAGGACUAUAUUCAAGAGACUUGUUGAGAGCUACAGGGAACUUGUAAUAAUUUGCUGGGCGGCCUGCGCACAAUGAUUUGUUAUACAUAGUUGAAAUAUUUCAAGAAUUUAUCAACCUCAUACUCUGAAACCCUUGGUGCAAUGUACUCUGCUUUCCGAGGUAGACUGUUCACGUAAAAUGAGGUCAUGCGUAAGACGGAAUCGGAUUGGAUUCACAGGGAAUCAGAUUUGGAUAGCACCUUUUAGCAGGUUUUUAGUCAAAUGCAAAUUCGGAUCCACAUGUGGUUGAAUGCGAGUUCAAAAUUCUACUUGGAUAUCCAUUUAAUUUAGGUGAUAGCAAUUAGCACAAAAUGUUGGAUGAACAAAAUCAUAGUUAGACAUACAAUUACAUGUAUGGUUAAAGUAUAAUACAAUACACCAAGAUUAUUCCUUGAAAAUAUUUCUUAAAAAUAUUAUAAUAAAUGAAUAAAUAUAAUUGUGGCCACCAACAAAUAGUCGGUGGUCGCUAAGUUGGAGCCAUUUCUGGUUACUAAUGCGGCCUUCUCCUCGACCAGCGACGACAGCUGAGCUUGUUCCUUCUGACACUAAAUCAUCAGAGUCUUCCCUCCACUACUAUAGAAUGCACCUUUAGCACCAAUUGGGAAAUCCCCUUCAGUAUUGGAUGCUGCAACCAGUGCUAUAUAUCAAAAUGGAGACUAAAAGCCUCGGUCUUGGGUACCGGUUGCAUAACGCAUUACUAAAGGAGGCAAAAGAGAAAUGUAACAAAAAAAAUAUUUUGAAUUCCAAGAAUGUUUCACUAUUCAAGAUGACUAGCUGAGAGUCAACAGACAAGAUACUAGGAAUGUGGGUGCUUGAAUGCAUUUGUACAGAGGUCAUACUAUUUACAAACUCUUCUAUGUUUCCAUAUGACUACCUACUUCAAUGUCACGCGAGCCAUUCAGCUGGACACAUGGCACACUAGCUUGCAUGUCGAAUCCAUGAUUAAUUAUUUGCACUUGUGAUCUCUUACCAGUAUUUGUCCAGACUAGAAACGUGCAACACAUUUUUAGGAUAUGGACACGCAUAUAUUUGGACUAGUAUACAGGUCACCUUUGGAUGCGUACAAGGAUGACCGGGAGGGACUAAUGGAUACAAGGAAGGGACCAUCAGGAUUAAUAUUGACAUAUGCCACAUGACAAUCUUCAUUGUCAUGCAAUCCCUAUCAACAAUCAUGGAAUCCCUAGUGUACUAAUCCCUGGAGGGUUGUGUGGAAAUUUAUUUUACCUUGCGGUGAAAAUCUCAUGAGCAGUCAUUAGUUAAGCUGACUAGCUGAGAUAUAAUAGACAAGCUAGUAAGAUUGGGAGCAUCAAUGCAUCCAUACAGGGUCACAAUAUCCUUUCCAUUCACUUUUAUAUAUAACCCUACGAAUACAAGUCCAACGAAAUGCGGGCCUUUCGAUCAAGAUAAAUUAAAUGGCCCACUUGUAUUUCUAAUCCAGGAUUAACUAUGCCCUCUGUUCAUCUCUUGCAAGCACGUGCAACACAUUUUCACGAUAUGGACAUGCAUGGAGGUUAUUAUACUGUUUGGACAAACUCUGAUGUGCCAUGACCUAAAUGCUUAGGGCCUGUUUGGUUUGAGUUGCUUAUUAUAAGCAACUUAAAGUUGCUUAAAGUUGCUUAUUUGAAGUUGCUUAUUUUUAGUCUAAACUGUUUGGAUACCCUUGCUUAUGAGCAUUGAAUGAGUUGGACAUUGUCAAAUUUGCCCCAUGUGUUGCUACCCCUCCAAUUUGCCUCCCCACCCUUCUUCUUCCUGCACACGUCCGAUCCCGGGGGCCGACGGCGGGCAGGGAGCAGCAGCAGCUGGCCAGGGCGGCGGUGGGGCGGGAGCGGCGGCGCACACCAGCACGCGCUCGCACGCCAGGUGCUAGGGCGCGGCGAGGCAGUCGUCGUAGCCCACCGGGAGCGGGUGCUCGGGCGCGAGGCGGUACUCGACGGAGAUGCCGAGCGUCGGGCGCGCGGCGGCGAGCGCGUUGAGGAAGCGAUGGUAGUGCGGCGACGUCGCGGACUCCGCCACGAAGCCGCCGCCGUGGACGUACACCACCACGGGCAGCUUCGUCUUGCCGUCGGCGGCCGCGGCCGCGGCCUGGGGUGGCAGGUAGAGGCGGACGGAGCAGGAGCCGAGGUCGACGUCCCUGGAGUCGACGCCCGUGGCGGCGUCCAGGCUGGGCCCGACCGGCGGCGGCACGAGCGGGCGCUCGAUGCGGCCGCUCUUGUAAAUCCGACGGGUCUGUGCGGAGGCGGGCGGCGGGCGGGAGCGGCGGGUGGGAGCGGCGGCAGGUGGUGCGGAGGCCGGCGGCGGCGGGUGGCGCGGAGGAAGGGGAGCUGGUGAGUGGUGACAGGGGAGGGGGGGAGAGAGAGGGGGGGUAGGGUGCAUUGAAUGAGGGCAGGAGGUGUAAAGUGCACCUUUUAGUCCCCAUGAGCAACCAUAAGCAGCCCAAGAGUUGCUUAUUUGCUUAUAAUAAGCAACCUCAUAAGCAAGAGUGAUUGGUUUCAUAAGCAACUUAUUUGCUUAUUUUAAGUUGCUUAUGCAUAAGCAUGUGAAACCAAGCAGGUCCUUAACCUAUGGUUGUGGCACCACACAGUACAUAGUAUUUAAUAAUGCUAUUCGUUUGGUAUGUGCACAAGGGCACGCAUGAAAUGUCUGGCCCACGGUAAACAAGUACGGACGCUGCAAAUAAUCUACUCUGCUCGUCCAGUCCCUAGCCUAUAAAUAGAUGCCAUGCUAGCUCUUGUUGUGCUCACAAUUAAUCCUGACUACACACGAGCUUCUCUCCCUGGCCAAGACACAAUCAUAGUAUGAUGAAGAACAUGGCACUAGCCGGCAAUGGUAUGAAGAACUUAAUCCUCGCUGUUCUCUUACUGUGUCUAGUUAUAGGGCAGAUACAAGUGGAAGCUAAGAGCUGCUGCCCAUCCAUUACUGCAAGAAAUAUCUACAAUGCCUGCCGUAUCACGGGUACAUCCCGUCCAACGUGUGCAAAACUGUCAGGCUGCAAAAUUAUCAGCGGGGACAAAUGCAAGCCCCCUAACGACCACCUCACCCUUGACCCGGACACUGGUAAAUAAUAAAUUUAUCUCACUUGAUUUCUUCGUGUUUUGAGUCGUUAAUGUAUUUUCCAUCUGAUGAAACGUAUUGGUUUUGCAUUGAAGAGGAAGUUAAUGUGCUUAACUUCUGCAAGUUGGGGUGUGCGUCGUCUGUGUGCAACAACAUCAACGCUGGUAAGCACCUUUUGCUCAGACGGAGAAAACAAUAAUCAUUAAUUAGCGGCAGCUAGAAUCCUAUAAUCUAAUAUAUUUAUAUAUAUAUAUAAUUUUAUCAGCUCUGGGAAAUGAAGAGGCGAACGAUGCCGUUGAGAGUUGCGACCAAGCCUGCUCUAGCUUCUGCAACGUGCACGUUGGCGCUGCCACCGUGGUUGCUUAAGCAAAUGCAUCCAACUGGAUCGUCCUUGUGCUAAAUAAUUGGAUAUCGUAUCCACUUAAAGCUGCCUUGUGUAGUACGUUUUUGUUUGUGUCUCUCUUUAUAUUCCAAUAAGGUCGGUGAUCUUGAUGCCACACACUCAGACGUGUGUUCAUCUCCAGAUACUACUCCAUGCUACCUGCCCUUUGUGUUUUGUUCAAUAACUGGGUAUCAUAUCCCAGCCAGUGUGCCAUCUGUUUUGUGUUUAUUUCCUUCUAGUUUCAAAGGGGUUAUCAUGAUGUUACCUUCUUUCGAUAUGGUGCUUUGCAUGACUACUGUUGUAUGGUACCAUCUUGUUGGCCAAUAAAUACAUCUUAUCCUAUGACCCUUUGCUAUGACCCUUUGCAAAUAAGUACAAGAUUGUUAAAUACUCGGUAUAAAUUGACUACUGCUGUGAGUUCCCUUUCAGCUUAUCGUAGGCAUACAUUAUUGCUAGCACGGUGAAGACAACCAACACGAAUGGUCAAGUAAACGUACCGGUACUUUUGUAUACCAACACCCUUGCUUAAAUGUACCGGUGUUACUCCCCACUAGCACAUAUAUUCUUAUAUGCUAGCCGGCUUGAAAAUUAACCGAUUAAAAUAAUUAUUUCAAGACAGAAAUAACUUAUCGGCUUCUCGAAGCAUGUGUAAUGUGAAUUCAAGGACUUGAUGGAAGUUGAAUCGCUUAAUCUAGAUUGCUUUCAGGAUUUUGGGUAACUAAAUUUAACAUUUGCACAUACAAAUGUUAAUGUACAAAUAUUAAAUAUAGUUACCCAAGCAGAAUAUGAAGAUACUCUAUAGUAUAUAUAUACUAUAUAAAUCUAGUUAACAUUUAGUCUAAAUGUUAAAUCUAGUUACCUAAAAUCCUGAAAGCAAAAUGUAUAAAUAUAUAUCUUUUAAGGAAUCCCAAAGCAAGAGUUCAGUGGCAUUCUAUAGUCCCAUGCUGCUAGUUUGAGUUGGUCGAAGCCAACUUAAAUAGGAGAGCUCUCUCACUUCUCUAAAUACGUAACUGAAGGAGAGAAGGGGGCUUGGUUACACAACGCACGCACGCACGCAUAUUUGCGUUCUUUUCGCGUAACCAACCGCGUGACUUGAAACUUGCGACGUAGCGUGCUGCCAAGUCAAGUUGAUAUAACCUUUUUGCCGUAGGCGUGUAAUCUUUUGACAACGGUCAUUGGAGGUGAUAAGCACGCAGUCAAUACCUUAAUCCUGAG